GGGAAACCAAUGCUGAUGACUUAUUAGGCAUGUUGUUGGAGUCCAACUUUACAGAAAUUGAACAACAUGGUAACCAGGAUUUUGGUAUGACUACACGAGAGGUCAUCGAGGAGUGUAAAUUGUUCUAUUUUGCUGGGCAAGAGACCACCUCUGUAUUGCUUGUAUGGACAAUGAUUUUGUUGAGCAGGCAUCCAGAUUGGCAAGCUCGUGCUAGAGAAGAGGUUUUGCAAGUCUUUGGUGAUGAUGGAACACUAGAAUUGGAUGGAUUAAACCGCUUAAAGAUUGUAAGUUAACAUUUUACCUUCUUUUAUGCAUCCAGAAUCUAAUAUUUGUUAAAUUUUUGUACUACUUCUCACAGACAUAUACACAUAUGUUCUAUGUCGAAUUGGGUUCAAUAUGCUAUUUCAAUGUGGAACUCCUCCUAAUCAUAUAGGUGACAAUGAUUUUUCACGAGGCAUUAAGGCUAUAUCCACCAAUUGAAGCGCUUUGUCGAAUGACUAAAACUAAAACCAAGCUAGGGGAACUAAAUUUACCAGCUGGAGUGAUGCUCUCUAUGCCAAUAAUGUUAGUGCAUCAUGACAAAGAAAUAUGGGGUGAAGAUGCAUCGGAGUUCAAGCCAGAGAGAUUCAGUGAAGGCGUUUCAAAGGCAACAAAGGGCCAAAUGACGUUUUUCCCAUUUGGUGGGGGCCCUAGGAUAUGCAUUGGACAAAACUUCGCGAUGAUAGAAGCCAAGAUGGCUUUGGCUAUGAUUCUACAACGCUUCACAUUUGAAUUAUCUCCUUCUUAUACACAUGCUCCACAGCCUGUUAUAACUACCCAGCCUCAGUAUGGUGCUCCUCUUGUGUUGCACAGAUUGUAAAAAGAGUGAAUAAACCCUCUUAUGCAAAUUAGUUUACACUAGUCACUCUUUCCUCUUUUCUAGCUUGGAACAAAUAACACUAUCUUUAUAUUUGAAAAGUUUUUCAUUUGAAAUAUCUCAUUUUCUGUUAAUGAGAUGAACUUGUACAUAUAAUAUUCCGUUAUGACAUAUUUUUGAGCACAAGUACCAAUAAUUAAGAAUACUUUUGGUAUUUUGUAAUUUUCUUUCCUCAUUUUUCUUAAAUUUUGUGUUCAAUCAAACACUAUCAUGACAAGAAUCACAUGGAGCAGUAAUAUCUUUGUAGAAUCAGUCAAAUCUCUCUUAACGUGUUAAUAUGUUAAAUUUUAAUCUGCCUCACUACUUGAUCACCAGUCUUGAAUGAAUUUGGAAAUACCUUGAGGUUUCUGAUUUGCCAAAUAUAGUAUACAGUGGCUUCCAUUGCAUAUAUAUAUAUAUAUAUGUAUUGCCAACUCUUCUUUAAAUAAAACUGUCUUUUCACUAUUUUUCUUUAUUUUCCUAAAAUAUAUAGAGUAGGGGAAUUAAUUAAUAUUUUCCUUCUACUAGACUUCCUAAAAUAUAUGAGGCUCCUAAAAUAUAUGGUAGGAGAAUUAAUUAAUAUUUUUCUUUCUACUAGACUUCCUAAAAUAUAUGGAACUCCUAAAAUAUAUGAUAGAAGAAUUAAUUAAAUUUUUUUUUUUUUACUGUUCAAUUAAAAAAAUACUCCUAAAAUAAUAUUCUAUUAAGAAAAUACUUCUCUAUAUAUUGAGAUGUACCUUAAAUUAGAGAACAAACCGGUUUGCCUAUUGAGAGAAUAUGAUUGAUGCUCAUCAAACUUGAUUCGAUUGCAUGUCUAAAUUGGUGGAUACUUGAUUUUCUAACUCUCAACUUCUUCACUGUUUUUAUCCGCAUAAUAGAAUUCAAUGUGUGUGUAUAUAUAUACUAGUUUAUGGGUACGCGCUUUGCACGUGUAUCUCAUUUUAAUGAGUUCAAACAUUACACUAAAUAGGAUAUUUGUUUAAAUAAUAAAGAUGAAUAAAUAAUUAAAUUUAAUUUCUUUUGAAUAUGUAAAGAUGGAGAGUUUAUUUAUUAAACCUAACCUUUACCAAAAAUAUUUUUAAAAGUCGAUCGACAUUCAUCUACCAUCUGUAAAUUGCAACAAAAUAAUACAAUCAUAGAGGCAUCAAAAUAAUACAAUUAAAUUUAAUCUUUACAAAAAAAAAUAAUUCUCAAAGUCAUUCGAUACUCAUCUACCACCUGUAAACAAUAACAAAAUAAUACGAUAAUAGAGAUAUCAAAACAAUACAAUUAAAACAACUUUUACACAAGAAAUUAUUCAUAGCCAACCGAUAGUAAACUAUAAAAAAAAUAAUAUAAUAGUGAUCACAAAGCUUCAAUUUUGAUCUAACUAAUUCUUAUCUGAGCAAAAGUUUUGACCCUAAAGAAUGAUUUUGAAUGAAAUUAAAGAAGAUAUAUAUAUAUAUAUAUAUAUACACACACAUAUUAUACUGAUAAAAACAGUGAAGAAGUUGAGGGUUAGAAAAUCAAAUAUCCAUUAAUCUUGACAUAGAAUCGAAUCAAGUUAGAUAAGCAUCAAUCAUAUUCUCCCAAUAAGCAAACCUGUUUGUUCUCUAGUUCAACGUACAUCUCAAUAGUUAUAGAAGUAUUUCCUUAAUAGAGUCCUAUUUUAAGAGUAUUUUUCUAAUUGAACAGUAGAAAGAAAAAUAUUAAUUAAUUNNNNNNNNNNNNNNNNNNNNNNNNNNNNNNNNNNNNNNNNNNNNNNNNNNNNNNNNNNNNNNNNNNNNNNNNNNNNNNNNNNNNNNNNNNNNNNNNNNNNNNNNNNNNNNNNNNNNNNNNNNNNNNNNNNNNNNNNNNNNNNNNNNNNNNNNNNNNNNNNNNNNNNNNNNNNNNNNNNNNNNNNNNNNNNNNNNNNNNNNNAAUAUAAAACAGAGAACAAACUAAAAAGAAUAAUAUUACAAAAAUCAAACAAGGAAGAUAAUUAAGGACCUCUAACCCGAUCAACACAUAAAUACACCCGUAUAAAAACACAGUGGAUUAUUAUAGAAACAGAUAAUUAAUAAUAAUAAACACCUACAUUCAAAAAAAAUUAUUUGAACAAAGAAAUAAAAGGUAUAGAGAUAAACUUUUAAUUUUUUCGUCUACUUCAUUCGGCAACAUGCUUGUUACGUUGAGGCUUUAAUCUGAAUUUUUCAACUGCAAGAAAAACGCGAGAAAAACUAUAAGGGAAAAUUCAUUGUCAAUUGUUCAUUGUGUAUAAUGCAUAUAUAAUCAAUCUCUAAAACUAUUAGAAAAAUAAAAGGCAAAAGAAUGAACAUGGUGAAUGAAAGAAGAGGACUUGAAUCAAAUAAGAAAAAAUAUAAGUAGAAGUUAUGUUUCUUGUAAGAUUGGUUUAAAAUAUUACUUAAAUAAAAUUGUAGAAAUUAUUAUUUUUUUACAUAAGGUAAAAUUUUAAUAAUUUAAAAGUGUUAAAUAUAAUGAAUGUUUACCUAUUAAGGACCUGAAUUAAUUUUAAAAUCAAUUAUAUAAUAAUUAUUUUAUAACAAAAGUUACUUAAAAAAUAAUUUAUACGUUUUAAGUCAUAUUUAAUCUAGAGUUGUUUGCUUAAUUAGAAUCCUAAUUUUGGUAUGUUUUUUUUUGUUGUUGGUAAUACUAAUUGUGGUAUGCUACUAAAGAAGGAAAAAAAGGAAAUUUUGUGUUUGCUUGUCUUGAAAUUUAAUCCCGUUUGUUUUAAUAUUUUUUUCCCUUAAAACCAAUCUACUAUUAUUAGAAGGGAAUCUAAGUAAUUAUAAAUAUUAAUUAAUUAUAGCCGACACCUAACAAAAUUUUCCAUAAAAUUGGGAGUGUUCCCAUAUAUUUGAGGUUUUAAUUUUUUUUUAUAUUUAUUAAAGUCAAUAUUCAAUAUUAAUAAUAAUUAUUUGAGGAAAAAAAUAAAAAGAUGAUUUUAUCUAUUGUGAAGUCUUUUAAUGAAGUGCAAAAAGUUCAAAACACUUUUUUAAGCGUCUUCACACUUUUAAUAUAUUAUAGAUUAUAGAUAUAAAUAUAGAUUAUAUAUAUAUAUAUAUAUAUAUAUAUNNNNNNNNNNNNNNNNNNNNNNNNNNNNNNNNNNNNNNNNNNNNNNNNNNNNNNNNNNNNNNNNNNNNNNNNNNNNNNNNNNNNNNNNNNNNNNNNNNNNNNNNNNNNNNNNNUGUGUGUGUGUAUAUAUAUAUGUGUGUAUAUAUAUAUAUGUAGCUACUUUAUUUUCAUUUCAAAAUCAUUUUUUAGGGUCAAAAUUUUCGUUCAGACAAGAAUUAGUUGGAUCAAAAUCGAAGUUUUGUGAUCCCAAUUAUAUUUUUCUUUUAUAGUUUACAGAUCGUAGAUGAAUGUCAGUCGGCUUUGAAGAAUUUCUUGUGUAAAGGUUAGAUUUAAUUGUAUUGAUUUGAUAUCUUUAUUAUCUUAUUAUUUUAUUUUAAUUUAAAGGUGCUAGAUGCUUGUGGGUCAGCUUUAACAAUAUUUUUUUAGGUAAAGGUUGGGUUUAAUUGUAUUAUCAUAAUAUCUCUAUUCUUGGGCGGAGCUACAUGUAAGUUAGGGGGUUCAUCCAAACCCCAUUCGAUGAAAAAUUAUGCUAUAUAUAUAGUUAAAAUUAUUUUUUAUGUAUAUAUAGUAGAUGUCGAACCUCUUUCGGUUAGAUGGUAUGUUCACUUGUGAAUUGCCUUGCUGAAAAUCUUGGCUCCGCCACUAUCUCUAUUAGUUUGAUAGUUUGUGGUAGUUUACAGUUCGUAGAUGAAUCUUGAUCGGCUUUGAAAAAUUUUUGUGUGUAAAAUUUAAGUUUAAUUAUAUUAUUUUGAUAUUACUUUUAUCGUAUUAUUUUGUUGCAGUUUACAGGUGAUAGAUUAAUGUUGGUCGGCUUUGAGAAAUUUUUUUAUGUAAAGAUUAGGUUUAGUUGUAUUAUUUUGAUAUCUUUAUUUUCAUAUUAUUUUGUUAUUGUUUGCAGGUGAUAGAUGGGUAUCAGACGACUUUGAGAAAAUUUUUGUGUGUAAAGAUUAGAUUUGAUUGUAUUAUUUGAUGUCUCUAUCAUUGUGUUAUUUUGUUGCAAUUUAUUAAUAAAUAAAUUCUCCAUCUUUACAUACUCAAAAGAUAUUAAAUUUAAUUAUUAUAUUCAUCUUUAUUAUUUAAACAAAUAUCCUAUUUAGUGUAAUAUUUGAGCUCAUUAAAGUGAGGUAUACGCGCAAGGUGCGUUUAGAAAAGUGAUUCGAACUUUUUACCCUUUACUAAAAAGCUUUGUUUUAGACAAAAUUGUCUUUUCACUUUUUUUCUUCAAUUAUUAUAUUAUUAUCUUUAUAAUAUUAAAUAUUGACUAUAAUAAAUAUAUGAUAUGAGAAUAUUCCUAAAUAUAUGGAAAGACUCCUAAAUUUAUGAAAAGUUUUAAUUUGUUGGGUAUGUAUUUUUUAAUGGAAAAUUAGUAAUACUAUUUUUUUAACCAAAACUAUUCUGGCGUGUACAAAGAAGAACCCCAAAAAUUUAAAUUACUACUAAUAUUAAGUAAAAUUUAACUUAAAUAAAACGUUUUCCUUAUAUAAAUCCUAAAAGUCAUAGCCACCAGAUUUAUGAUAGUCCCUUUUUUCCUCUCACGUGUAUCCUUUUUGGGUAUGUUCUCAAAACAAAUAAUUUGGUUUGUAAUUGUUUUAGGUUUAGUUAUUUGAUAUAGGUAAUAAAUUAUAAUAUUUAAUAGUUUAAAAUUAAUUAGAAUUUUACCUUAUAUAAAAAAAGUGAUUUCUAAAAUUCUAUUUAAGUAAUAUUAUGAACUCAAAAGUUACAAGAAACAUACUCCUAUUUCUACGUUUUCUUAUUAUUUUGAUUUUGCUUCAUGUGUAUUCUUGCAUUUAUUAUUAUCACCCUUUAUGUUUUCAUUUAUUUCUUUUAAUUUAUAGCUUUAAAAAUUAUGUAGGAGUUAUACAUAAUCAACAAUUGAUAAUCAAUACACUUCAUUUAAUUUUUCGUGUCUCUCUUUCAAAAGAGAAUUUUUGAUUGAAAAACUGAAAGAAUUUCCCGUCGAAUGAAGUAGCUACAAAAAUAAAAGGUUUAUUUCUUUUUUUUUUUCCAUUUAAUUGUGACUUAGUUUUGAUAAUGUUAUUGAACUAUAUUUUGAUAUAUGAUUCGUUAGUUUUAUAGUUGAAUCCUUGAUUAAACUUAUUAGUUGAGUUUGAAUUAUAAGAUCAACUAAUAAAUUGGAGUAGCUUAUUGUUCUUUAAUCUUUAAUUGGUUGAGUAGCUUAACUCGAAGAACAACCUUAAAACUCUAAGUUAGAGUUAAAUAUAUUUAGGAAUGAUUCAUAGUGCUUUAGCUAAUUUAGCAUUGUAAUGAGACAUUCAUUUUUAAGAUGUUGUAGCAUUAACACUUUUAGGGUGGAGAGAAUAUACACACGUGCAACACAUGUAUACUUGACUAGUAUAUAUAUGUGUGUGUGCGCGCUCGCGUGUGUAGCCAGUCCUCUUGGACAACCAAGAGUGUUAUGUAAAAAGGAUCAAGGAAGAUCCUAGUCGUGAGGAGAAGGGGUAGGAGUAGGUGCUAGAUUUAGGGGCGUAAUCGAAGAAAUGAAAUUCAUUUAUGCCACGACGAUCUAUAUGGAAGGGAAGUUUUGUUGAUGCAUUCCUCUUGAGAAUGAAGAAGAAGAGAGAUCUUAUUUUUAACAGGAAAAUUUGGUCAUAUAGAUCUUCUAUUUUGCCGAAAUUCAUUGAUUGCUCUGUACGAAUUUAUAAUGGAAAAGCUUCUGUUUGUUGUAAGAUUAUUGAAGGAAAGGUUUUUCAUUAAUGUGGAGAGUUUGCUUUUACGUGGAAAAGAAGACCUUCAAGAACAAAUAUUGGACCGGGAAGAAAAAAGGCAUUAUUCAUAUACUCUCCUCCUUUAAUUUGUUUGACCUAUUUUCCUUUUUAAUUUAUUUUUAAAAAAUAUUUGACAUGUUUAGGAGCACAAGAUCAAAGGACAUUUUGGUACGUUUGACAUAUCUUUGAUUUAAGACUAUAAGAAGACAUUUGGUGUGAGGUAUAAGGUAUAAUAAUCCAGAGAUAAAAUGCAGGAUAUCUAGCAUUUGGUUGGAGGAAUUAGUUAGUUCCAGAAUUACUUAUCCCACCAUUUAAAUCAUAGUGAUGGGAUAAACUAUCCCAUAUACAUAGUGCUAUAUCUGAUUUUGAGAUAACUAAUCCCCGGAUAACUUGUUACCAACCAAAAGAUUAAGGAGUAUUUUGACACAUUUGACAUAUCCUGGUUUAUAAUAAUAAGAUUCUAAAAUAUUCUUUAUUUUCUUAAAUUUUGUACCAAGUCAAAAGAGAUCAAUCAAUUUAAAAUGAAGGGAAUGUUUAUUAUCACGACUCAGUGUAAAAUUUUAUUUUGAAUUUAAGGCGGUGGCAUUUUUUAGUAUACUUCUUAUAUCCAAAAUGAUAUUUAUAUGUCUUAAGUAACAAUUUAUUUCAGGGGCGGAUCCAGGGGCUUGGGUGGGGGUUCCUAGAACCCAGUAAGUUUUGCGGAUCUUGUAUUUAUAUAGAGAAAUCUAGUAAAUAUAUAACAAUUAUAAGUUGUGAUAGCAUACAAACUACGAAAUCGGAAACUAAACUACGAUACAAAAUGAAAGCUAAAAGGAUAGAUAGAAAGCAAGAAAUAGAUAGACUGAAUGAAUGAAUGGAUAGCAAACUAAGGGUAUAUUAAAACCCUAACCCUUUAUUCAAUAUCAAUCAAAGCAUCUAACUCUCAUGUAGACCUCAACGGAAUCGGAUUCCCAAGCAACCCACGUUUCUAAACAAGGUAUCAACACAAGCUUAUCCAAGCUUGUCUCACACACUCAAAAGAGUAUACAUUCAUAAUUCAUCAAAAUCUCCCUCCUAAAUGAAAGAAAGGUCCUAUUUAUAGUCUUGGUUAAAUUAUUACAUCUUAUGGGCCCAAAAAUGACCCAUUUGGAAAGAACAAAUCAUGGUUGCCCACUUAACAUCUGUUUAAGCAUUUAUGGAGUAUAUGGGGCACAUCUCAGGUGUAUCCCAAGGGAAUAGUGGAUUGUUUUUACUUGAUCUAGCAGAUAUAGAGCUGGUUGGUCGCACCUUCAAAGCGGAUGGGGCAUAUAUCCUCUUUUGGAGGCUUUCUAGCCCCGUCUUGCACUCCCUUGGCCUCUUUAAUGUCCCUUGACCCUCCUUAAAGAUUAUCACCAUCCAAUUGGCACCUUUUGAUAGCACCAAGGAGUUAUCAAGUGCCUCUUGGACCAUGAGCCUCUCAUCCAAAGAUCGGGAGGUAAUUGGGAUUAUAUCAUCCCCUCCUUCUUGAAGAGAAUUCGUCCUCAAAUCUACAACCUUAAAGCACAAGAGAAGAACACACAACCAACAAAUCCUCAAAGCACGAGAGUUAGCACAGUGGUGAACAUAAACACAUCUAUGCCAAAGAGGUACACAUUUGACAUACAACCAAUGAUUUUUUUAUCAACAAAAUGAAUUCAUCAUACACUACACAAAAGGUGUUGGCUAUAAGGAGUCUUAUGAAACAAGGAAACUACCAAGGUUGUAAGACACAAGUAUUUCAUUAUUUCACCAUAAGUCUAUACCCAAGAACUCCUACCUCUAUCUAAAAUAAAUCCCACAUCAACAUGGAUAUUAUCAAAUGCAAAGAAGAUGAGUCUCUUCCAUGGUGUUUCCAUACUUAAGAGUAGCAUGGUACUUAAGAAAUCUAGUAAUCAAGUCACUAGAAGUUGUAACAACCAAGGAUAGAGUCAAGUCAUUAGGAUGCAUAACACCCUUCCUUCAAGACAACUCAUGUUCACACUAAAUGCAUUUUCAACACAAACAUGGCAAUUAUUAUAGGCAAAAAGAUAGAAAAGAAAAGAGUUAAGGACACCAUUCUCAUCUAAAUUACCCUCAAUAAUAAGUCUACAAGAAGCUGAGAUAAGACAAUUUAAGCAUAUUACAUUUUUUCAUUUCUAGCAACUUCCCACACUAAGUACAUUCACCAACUCAAUCAUGCUAUUAGAGAAAAUAGAGGAUCUAUAAGAAACCAAUUCACUCCAAGCCAAACGGUAUACCCAAGAUGUUGGGUGAAUUCUUUUCAUGGCACUUAGCAUGUUUCUAAGAGUCCUUCCUAUUACCUCAACUCGUCCAAUCACACAAGUGUGAAGAUGAUUAGGAAACAUAAGUCAUACAUUAAGUACACACCAAGGACUUUUCCUAAAACCAUAAAUAGAUUGGGUAUCUAGAUUGCAAGACCCACACAAUUCAACCACCAAAGAAAACACCAUAAAGGAAUCUUGAAGACACUAAUAUUCUCAUGGUGUGACAUGAUAUCAAUCAAUUUCAAGGGUCUAUACAAUAUGGGAGAAAUAUCAUCAUGCCUCCAAGGAUCACUAGAAAGAGGAAAGGGUAUAUAUACCUUAGAAGUGAGGCCUUGAACUUUUUAUCUUGUCCUUCAAAUGUACUUUAUCUUGGACCAAUAGACUUGAUACUUUUGCCUCUUUGCAGGAAUUUCCUUAAGAGGUAACUCCUUCUUUUGAUUCAUGGGGUUAGAUGCUUCACCCCUUGUCAUAAAAUAUCCAUCGACCCAUAGGAGUUUGACUAGGUGUCUCCUUUAAGUCAGGCCUUCAUAAACUUUGAAGUCCUUGAAUAAGAAUUCAUCUAGGACUUCAAACUUAUUCUUAUGAGUAGGGGUGUGCGAAAAUAAACCAACCGAUAAAAAUGCUAUUGGGUUAUUGAUAUUUGGUUAUUGGGUUAACGGUUUCUUAGUGGUUUUAUAAAAAAUUUUAUUGGGUAAACGGUUCGGUUUUGGUUUUAGCUUAUUGGGUUAUUGGUUAAACCGAUAACCCAAUAAGAAUACACUAAGUUAUUAUUUUUCCCUAUUUAUGUAAUAUAUAUAUAUAUAUAUAUAUGUGUGUGUGUGUGUGUAUGUGUGUGUGUUAUAUACACUACUUAUUCACAGUUCUGUGAUUCACAAAGUAUUAACCUAUUCAGGAAAACAAAGAAACAAUAUAAAGCACGAGUAUUAUCAUUGGAAAGCUUGAAGCAUUUAGUAGCUUCCAACAAUUAGGAUUCAGUUUUUUUCUGAACUAACAUUCAAUUCAAGAUCGAAUAUUCUUGUAAACAAAAAUGCAUUGCGUAGGAUUUUGAUGGUAACUAAGAUUUUAUUUUUAUGUUAGUUGCUACUAUUUCUAUUUUAUGAGUAUUUUCUUAUUGGUUAAACUAAAAACUGAACUGUUAAUGAUCAAAAACCGAUAAGAAAAUAUCUUAUUGGUUGGUUAUUGAUUUUACAUAUUUAAAAAUUAAAAACUGAUAAACUGAACCAAUAAAACAUAUAAACUAACCGAACCGACGAUGCACACCCUUACUUAUGAGAGUUCUUUUUUGAAUCCAUAUUUGGAAACAUCGGCUCAUGAUCUUGGAAGAGAGAAAUAUUAGUACUAGGUGAAGGGACACUGUGUAUUGAUCUUCAACUCAGGACCUGUUCCCAGAUACACUCAUAUAAUGAGAACUAGGAGAUAUAUAAAGCAAGAAGUGCAGGAAUAAAGUAAAUAAAAGACACAAGGUUUUUACGCGGAAAAUCCUUGCUCAAGGGAGAAAAACAACGACCUACUUUUAGGCUUUCUAAGCUUCACUAUACUCAAGAAACUUCUUAAAUACAGACUCUAAGGAUUAACAUCCUAAUCCUUUGUUUCCUAGCAACAACUCUAUCCCAAGGAAACACAAAUAGUACCUCUACUACUUCAACCUCUAGCUAACUCUAACUGGACUCCAUAAGCUAAAUCUAUUUUGAACAAUCACCUAACUCUAGGUGAUUACAAUGAAAGGAAUACACCUCAAAACCUACUAACAAUUAUAAGAAAUGUAGGUACACAUUUUAGAACAAAGUACAAAGACUUAACUACAACAAAGAGAUAAAGACACGACUAGAUAAAUAAUUAGUUUUCUAUUGCAACUGCAGUCUUUUGAUUCACCACUUCAAAAAGAUAUUUAGUUGUCAGAAUAUGGAAAUGUUGGCCUUUUUAUUGUGGGAGCUGAGCAAUAUAUAUUGUAACAUAAGAAAACCUUAGAGAGAUCUCAUUGGUUGAGGAAAAAAAAGUGGAAACAAAUUUUUCUACCAACUUUUGUACUUUGUGUCAGUUGUGACUGUUGAUUGUGAUAGUAAUAGGUAAGCCCAACCUAUUCUCUACAAAAAAUCUAGGAAAUAGGUCCCAACAUACAGAAUUCAUAUAGUUUGUCAAUCAUCAAAACUAAGGACUUAACAAUUUCCCCCCUUUUUGAUGAUGAUAAACCUAUGCAACCAUUCAUCAUUUUCAAACCAUCCACACAAAGAACAAUAUACACCUUAGCAACACCCCAUAAGCCACAAGGCCAUGUCAAACUAGUUUGUUCAACCAUUUCCCCCUAUCAUUGAUACCUAUAAGUAUAUAGGCAUCCUACACCUUAUUCCCUCUAUCUAUGAGCAUCAAGUUCCCCUUAAGUGAGAGAACUCCUAUCUUCAUUAGUACAACCCAAACACAUCCCAAAUUGCUACUUCCCAACCUAAAGCCUAGCCAAUGUCCAACCUACUACAUCCCAACAUGCUAAAGCAAGCUAACACAAACUAUGUAAUCUACUUCAAACUUUCCCCUUUUUGGUAUCAUUAAAGAGGUUAGGCAGUAAAUUAAGCAUAGAUAAGCAUAUAUGUUAAUUUAUGGCCAUUGAGGUAAUACUUACAUGAUCAAGAAAAGAUCAGAUAAAAAUGAGAGAAGGGAUAACAUAGAGAAAAAAUCACAGUUAUUCAACAAGCAGUACCGAAAACCAUUCAAACAUAACAACCAUUAAAAAUAUUGAAAACAAUAGUGCCAGGUACACAUCAGAGACAAAAGAACAAGAAGAAUCACAGGGCUUAAAGAUAGGACUAGGAAGGUGAAGGAGUAGGUACCAUAAGAGAAAGAUUUAGGAAGAAGUUCCUGUAGCUCGAUCUAGCUUCCUGAGGAGUAUAUUCAUUCUUUCAUAUUCUGCAGCAUGAGCCUUAAGAAUCUAUGAAUCAACGCUUCAUUUUUUGCAGUCAAGGGUUAAACUUGAGCUUCUAACUUCUCCAUCCUUGCAUGUAGGGUAACAUUUUCUUCUUUUAACUUUUCACCAGAGUUGGUCCCCUCUUCAACUCCUUUGACUGAUGCAACUUUUAAUGUAACAAUCUCAACAUCCUUUAUAGCAAUUAUGAUAGUCAUUGACUCCAUUUCUUCCUUCAAAUUCUUCUGUGGUUCCACUAUCUCAGACAUAGGGGACUUAGACUUCUCACCACCUCUCCUGGGAACACACUCAUUGUCCUCUAGAGUGGUUAUAUUAAGUAUUUAUUUAACCGAUCCAAAUUUUCCUUGUUCACACACCACAUUAAAGUAGUCAAAAAUAUUGUUAAGUCAAAACCCAUAUACCAGGCCAUGUUUUCCAUCCUUAGCAGUAAUCACUGUAUGCAUAUGUUCAAUAAUGAGAGUAGAAAGGUUGAUUUUCUUAAAUUUUGCCAACAUCUCCAUGAGAUAUAGAUCAGGACCUGUGAUAGUGGUUUUUUUUUCUAAUCUAGGUAGAAGAUACUUAUUUACCAACUCAAAGAAUAGUUAGUACUCACCAUUUAGGGCCUUAUUGGUUACAUUCUUUACAUUCAUAUCAUCAAUAUUACUACAAACCGUUAAAAACUUGGUUGAUCCUUCUUCCUUUUUUGCAGAUUUUAUUCCCUCAGUAGGGACUCCCAAGAUUUUAGACAUUAUCUCCUCAUCAAUAACAAUAUUUAUUCCAUUCACCUGAGAGAUCAUGUACAAACCAUCUUCAGAGAAUGUUAGGUUGCGAUAAAAAUGCAAUUCUUAUUCAUAUAACAGAGGAACAUGUCCCUCCAAUAGAUGCUCCCAUGCUUGAAACUUAACCCAUUCGAUUAAUUCCUUCAUUACAGGAAGCUCAGCCACAGUGGGAUCAAAUAUUAUGCCUCUCAUCACUUUUUGAGUCUUCAAAAUUUUUUGCCUUGCCUCUUUUGACAGCACUCUACCCUUCACAAUGAAGGAGGAGGCCUUUCCCAGGGCACCAACUCCCUUUUCAGAUGAACUAGAAGCUUCAGAGGUAUUAGCAACCUUGGGGCUGGGACCUGAUACAUUGUUCCCUACAGAUUGUACCCUUUUUCUCUUCCUAGUUUGCUUAGAUAUAUUCUUUUAUCUGAACUCACUUCUCUUUUCUCGAAGAAUAGUUUACUUAAUUACUUUAGAAGAGUGACUAAAUUUACUAGUCUUAGUGGGGAGAUUCAUGAAGUAGGUAUAGUAAUGAUAGGCUUAGAUAUUAUGAUUGAUGAAAACACAAACUGAUAAGCUAUGUGGUUAGUACUCCAUGAAUUAAGACAUGAGGUUGUUGGAUUACAGUGAUGAGGUGAGGUUAUAUUCUUAAUGGGAGGUAGAGUAUAGGGUCCCAUAGCUUAAGCUAGCACCUUUUUACCCCGAGUUAGGCUUCAACAUAAAAAGAACUAUGUAGUGAAACUCAAACUCUUGUAGUUAGGUAUGUUAUGGAAAAUUAUAGGUUGGAAAUAAUGAAGUAUGUUAUUUACUUAUUUAUUUAUUUAUUAUUUGGGGCAUAGUCGAGUAGUGUCUCUAAGUGUAAGGUCUAAUCGUUUUAAAUUGUACGGUGGAGAAUGUUUCUAUUCCUAUCUUCUGCGAAACCUUAUUUCAUGAAUAGUACCAAUGUAAAUCAGGCCUAUUAUCACCAAAUAAGAUCAUGCCUUAUGUUGUGAUGAUUAUGAUCCCUAGAACUCAUAUGCAAGGUCAUCGCUAUGUUAAUUCUUGUUAUCUCACGCUUUGUGCUUACACGUUUCACUAAGGGUUAUCAUGAAUCCCUUUUGAUGCCUUUGCAUACUUAGUUGAGGAGAAAUGUUCAAUGUGAAGCUAUGUUCUUUAUUUCAUACUUUUUGAGCUUUAACAAGUUCCUACCCAUCAUUCGGGAAUGAAUGAUCCCAAGGGAGAGAUAAUGUAACACCCCAUAGUUGUAAUGCUCUAUUAAUGCAUUUAAAAUGACCUUUAGGACACCUAUAGUGAUAGUAGAUUAUGUAUAGACAUUGUGGGAGGUGUUGGGGGUGUUUUAGGACCUCAAAACUUAGUGUGUGUCGCAUUGCCAUCGCCUAUAGCCACUGGAAAAGCUAGGCGAUGAGGUAGGCGCCGCUCACCUAGGAGCUAGAAGAUAGGCAAGGCGCCACCCAUAUUGUGGCUAUGCCAUGGACAAGGCGUCACCCACCUUGUGGCUACAUAAUAGGUUGGGCACCGUAUGGCCAAUGCAUUGCAGCGUAGGGGCUCUAUUUUUGUAUUAUUUUAAGGGUAAUAUGGUCCUUAAAUGUUCCAUAACCAUCCCUAAACACUCUUAGAUGAAAUUAAAGUCCAUAUUCAUGUUAUAUAACUUACUACAUCCCUAAUUCAUCUUAUUUAAGCAAGAAAUGGGAAAAUUAACUAGGGUUUUAGAGAUUAAGCCUCAAGAGUCAAAAUUUCUCAAUGUUUUCAUCAAUCUAAGAUAUGUGGGGAUAUCCUAAACCUCAUGGACGUAGAUUUACUAUUUUUAAACAAGCUAUAAAGAGCAUAUAUUUAUGCGUACGAAAUAGAUUUUGAAAGUAUUGAUGAACAUGCAUUAAAAAUCUCAUUUUACAAUGAAGUCUUAUAGAAAUUAUGGUGUUGUACCCUAAAUAUGAAAUGUUUUCAUGUGUUCAUGUGCUAUUAAGUUUGAGAAGUUAAAUGAGAGCAUGAUGUAUGUAAUUCCCUUUCUUAUUAUUAAACCCAUUGUUUUUACAUGUUGUGGGUUGAUUAUACAGAUAGCUAAAAACUUGAGUUUGAAGGUUUACUGUCAUGUAUGAAUUAUACUGUUUUUAUUACUAAAUGAGAGGGUGUUUUCCUUGAUUUAUAAAUGUUCAUGUUCCCAAAAGAGAGUUGCAUGUAACUGAAUAAGGAUUUGACCACUGUAGAUAAAGUAUUGAAGAGAGAUAGUGUUUUGUUUUCAUAUGCUUUUGCAGUAUGAAAUCUCGCCUGAUUUUUUAAUAUUUUGGGUGGUCAAUAACAUGCUUUUCAAUAAGAAGGGUAAUAGAGAAGUUUUGGUAUAAAAUGAAGGACUUGCAAGUCUGGGUAUGACUAUAUCUAUUAAAAUGUGCCCUAAAUAGAAUAAGAGAGAAACAAUUAUAAGAAGAAAGCAUGAUUUUUUUAAGAGUCUAAAAUAGGGCUUAAGAAAGUUAGAUGGUUACCCGAAGAAGGCACAAGUUUAAAUAACUUAUUUCUCAACAUAGUGAUUUGCCGACACAGGUUUUAUAUUGCCCUGAAAUAGGGGAAUGUACGCUGGUGAUGGCCUUGUGGCAUAGUAGAGAUGCAGAGACUCCAGCCCUUAUGGGAAAAUUGGCUUAGGGGCUUGGCCGUCAAGUCAAGAGCGGAUUCCAUAUAGCCUAUAAAAUUACAGAUUGUAGGAUAUACCAUCUAGCUCAAUAGAGAAAUGAAGAGUUGAGUCAUGAUUUCAAUAAGUUAUUUUGAAGCUCAUCACAUUAUGCCCAUGUGUUUUCAUUUACCUUAUGUUAAAUGUUUUUAUAAAAUGCUCUCACAUAUGUUGUAUAAAAAUAUAUUAUUUUGGAUUGUUAUAUGUACCAGUAUUUUUUUGUAUUGACCCCCUAUAUUUCAGGUUAUGCGGUAUAGUCCCAUGGUCCAUCACAUCAGUAGAACACUUGGGAUUUGACAGAAGUGAUGAGCCAUCCAUCUUUGAAAAGGCAUUUAUUUAUAUGUUGAAUCUUUCAGUAAAUGAUCCAGUCGGGGGCUUUGUCUCGGCCUAGACAGUUAGUAUUUAGUAGAGGCUUCGUAGAUGGUAGUUGAAGUGUUGUAUUGUCAUAUCUUAUGAUGCAUUUCAGAUUGUAAGUUUUCCAAUAAAUAUUGUUAUAUCUUCCGCACUUUAAUUUAUGUAUGGAUUUUGCUUAUGAUAGUAUGCUAAGAGGUCUCUCGGGCUUUGUGGUUCGGGAUACCCGUUGCGAAUAGGGUCCUAGCUCGGGUCGUGACAAUCUUGGUAUCAGAGCACAGUUUAUGGUUCCAGGGUAUCUACGAAGCCGUGUCUAGUAAAGUCUUGCUUAUGGGUGUGUUGUGCACCACACUUAUAAUCAAGAGGCUACCGGGCAUUUAGGAGUUGUUUCUCAUUUUUUCAUAUUCAAGUUCAUGCUAUAGUGUCAUCCAUAUGAAAGGUAUCCAAUUUUCUUCCUUCCUAUAAUUUUAUGGGUCAGGCCUCAUUGUCGAGGCGAUACAAGUUCAAGAGUUUAAAUCCCCAACAAUGUGGUCCUUUUUUAUUGAGUUAUCCAUGAAGUUAUGAGAUAGCACAAGGACUUGAGAGGAGUCCAUUAGUGCUUCAAAGUUAUUGAUUCAAGUGUAUACCUCUAUCUUAAUAAAAUUGUGCUUUUCAGCCUGAGGUAUGAAGUGUACUCAGUCCCUUUCAAAAUCCCUAUUAUGGAUGUCAUGCUUAAGGAUAGAGAUAUGUGACAAAAUGUUGGAACAAUAUUUUCACCUAAGUAGUAGUAUAUGAUAAGGUGUAAUAACCUAUUUGUAGUAAGAUUAUCCCGAAGUUAGUUUUAUAAAUUCGCAAGUCUAGAAGUUAGAGUGAGGGUGACUUUCACAUAAAUAAGUUGUUGUAGUUGUAUAACCCUUGACUGGGGGGUGGUUUGCUCUUUUAUGGUGAUGGGCUGAUGUUGUAGAAAGAUUUGUAGAUUGCAUGGUAUUCUGUGAAGGAAGUGAUUGGCUAUGAUUGUUAUUUAUUCAAAAUAGGAAAGGAUCUCAGAGUGGAUAGUUAUGGUGGUUAUAGAAAUCAUUUAUAGGCUGUGAAUGAAAAAGGGAUAGAUUAGUUAAUAAGUUAUAGGUAGAGACUCAUUGGUGUAUAUAGAACUUGAAGGUAGUGGGGAUAUAUGUAUGGGUAAGUAAAUAUGAUGUGAGAAAGUGGUAUAUGUUGAUAAGAUCGUAAUGGGUUAUGGUAUAAGAUUAAGAUCGACUGUCCCUAUUAUGUGACUUUACCCCCUUGAUUGUCUUUUCUCUAGUAGUUGUAAACUAGUACUUCAUGUGAGAAGGUAUAUAGUAAAUUUUGAGAUGUAGUAGUGAUACAUGGAUAGGAUAUGAUUUUAGGUAGUAGUUAAGUGAAAUGAGGUAUUGGUUUGAUUUCCCAAUUUGAUGGACCAGUAUAGUAUGUGGCAUGCCUCAUCGGUGGUACAUAAUUGAUGCUAGACUCUAGGCUUGAACUUUAGAUGUGGAGUGUGGUGGUAAGUAUAUUGGCUUAAGAUUAAUGAUGUAUGUUUUGUAGGAAUAAACUAGUAGGCUUAAUGUAAGAUAUGAAAUUUCCUAGGUUGGCAAUUUAUGAAAGAAAGAGUGGAUAAUUGUUAUAUAUGUACAUGAGGACUAAGGUGAAACGAUGAAUUGUGGUUGAGUCGUUAAGAGGGUAAGAGUAUUAGGUAUAUAAGAAUAAGUUGAAACCCCCUGAUAGUAUGUUGUUAGAUAAGGUUUUAUGGGUAUAAGUGUCAUGUGUACCUAGUUCAUGUUCUUGAAUUGUGCAGUAUGGGGAAGACUAAGGAGUUGCUGUGUGAUGUUCUUUAGAGCUGAAUUGAGAAAAUAUAGGUAGGCGGUAUGUGCCUUUGGUAUAGUUUUACAAAUUUUGUAAAGUUAUGAGUUAUGCGAUUAGAGGUUUAAUACGAGUAUGUUAAGUAAUAAAGGAUGAAUUAUUAUAUGAUAAGGAUAUUCGGAUAUGUAUUCUCAUGAGAGUGUGAGUUGUAGGGUGAUGGCUAUAGAGGCUAGCGAAAGUUAAGAGUUGCACUUCUGGAAAGCGAGACUUUAGAGUAUAGUUUAUCAGAGGAGUUUAGCAUUUAUGUGUAUGGUGAUACCCCAUUGUGUUGAGUGUUGUUCCUGUAGAUUUAUUGAGAAGAUAUGCCCUAAGUUUAGGAUUGUGACUUUAAUCUAAGGGAGAGAUGAUGAACUAAGGUAGUUCUUGAAUUUUCUCAUGGUGGCAAGUUUCAGGGAAGAUUCAUGAUAAAUCUAUUCCUAUUCAAGCAGACUCCUUCUACUUCAAUUUAAGAGGUCAUUCUACCAAUGCCUCAUGUAUUCAAGUGCCUAUACCUAAGGUUUAAAUUAUCUAUGCAACUUAUGUCUAUGUUCCGUACUUCAAACUAAAAGCAAUAAUGUCCCCCGACAAUCCAAGCUUUCAAGUAUUCAAGUUCUAUGUUAUGAUGCUCAUGAUCUAUAAAUCUAUGUCUCACAUCAUGCUUGGUUCAAAGAAAAUAUGUUUUCCAUAUGUCACCGAUUCAUUUUAUGUCGGGUUUAGCCUAAAGUGAUAUGGUACAUGUAAACUCAUGACUAUCUCAGCUCUGAAAAUGAGGAGCAAUAACUUCAAGUAUCAAGUCUUGUCUCAAUCAGUAACUUCAUGAAUUUUGGCCUUAUGGUAUAUGACUCAUGAUAUAUGCGCUCAUGUUUCUCACCAUAAGUUCAGUCCUACAAACUUAUAUUGUACUAUGUUUAUACCCGAACGACUCUCUAUUUAUGAUUUAGGCAUCUAAUGUAUGAAGUACUUCAUUCCUAUUGCAUCACAUCUACCAUUGCAUCCCCCACCUUGAGUAGUGCAACAAGUAUGAGUUAUAAUUAAAUAGUGUUACUCCUAUUCAUAAUGCUUAUGCUCGGGUCGCUCAAUGACCAUCCAUAUGUUAGUAUGAUGGUGGUUGUGUGAACAUAGUAAUGUCUUAGGUAGGGGAGUAGAUGUUCUUGAAUGUGAAAAUUUUAAUGUGAUUCUCGAGUUAUGAUUAUAUGUGAAGGAGGAAAAAAAGAGAUGAACUUUCGUUGUGUGAAAUAGUUAGGAAGGAGAUAUGUGGUGAAAAUCUUUGUGAGAGUGACUGAAUUUGUUGGUCUUAGUGGGGAGAUUCAUGAAGUGGGUGUACUAAUGAUAGGCUUGGAUAUUGUGAUUAAUGAAAACACAAAACCAAUGUGCUAUGUGGUUAGUACUCCAUGAAUUAAGACAUGAGGUUGUUGGAUUACAAUGAUAAGGUGAGGUGAUAUUCUUAAUGGAAGGUAGAGUACAGGGUCCCUAGCUUAAGCUAGCGCCUUUUUACCCCGAGUUAGGCUUCAACAUAAAAAAUACUAUAUAGUGAGACUCAAACUCUUGUUGUUAGGUGUGUUAUGAAAAAAUAUUAGGUUGGAAAUAAUGAAGUAUGUUAUUUAUUUAUUUAUUUAUUAUUUGGGGCAUAAUUGAGUAGUGUCUCUAAGUGUAAUGUCUAAUCAUUUUAGAUUGUACGGUGGGGAAUGUUUCUAUUCCUAUCUUCCGCGAAACCUUAUUUCAUGAAUAGUACAGAUGUAAAUCAGGCCUAUUAUGUAACACCCCAUAAAAUUUUUGAGUCAUUAGAGCUUCUAAAGCAUGUCAAGAAAGGCUUAACACUUAGAAAAUUUGACUAAGUGUUGAAACUUUUUCAUUUCCAUAAGCCUUCGAAACUUUGAUGAAUUAUUUUGUGACCUGCCCAACCUCUAAUUCUUGAUUUUCUUGUUACGCUGCAAAGGGGCAAGUCAAGAGUACAUCCCGGGUGAGUUUCGAAAUUUUUGGACGAGCCUAAGGUCGUGUUUGGGUUGGAAAAACAGUAGAUAAAGGCUACAGAGGGGCACCCCCAGCUUAGAUCCUUGGCCCCUUCCCUCAGUAGCAAGGCGCCGCCCAGGUUCCACCAUGGGAAGAGAAAGGCGCCGCCCUUCUCCCCUGGGAAUAGUAGGGCGCCGCCCAGGCUGUAGCCCUGGGCCAAAAAUCUGCAUUCCAAGUCCGUGUUUUCAAGGGCAAUUUGGACAAAUACCACCCCUAUAUAAGUUUCUUUAACACGAGAGUCAUCAUAUUUUCACCCAAAAUAUAAGGUUUUCUCUCAAUUUUCCUCAAGAACAAGAAUAAGGGUUUCUAUUGAAGGUUCAAAAUCAAGGAAAUUCCUUCGUGAAUCUUUCAAGAAUCAUAUAGGAAGGUAUGUUGGAUGUUGAUUCUUGGGUUCCUCCCACCCAAGAAGUUCAAGAAUCCCUUUUUAAAUUCAAGAUCUUAUGUUUAUGAGUUUUUCAUGACUGGAGUUGUUUGAAGUUGAAGCCCACGUUAAUAUUAAGUUUUAAUUCAUGUUGUGAUCAUAAAGAUACAAGUAUUGACCUUAGUAUGUGUUGGUUAUGUGAUGUUCAUGAUAAAGUCCCUUCAUGAAGCAUGCUGAGUUAUGUAAUUAUGUUAAUUUGGUGUAUUGAAUGUUGUAUGGCCAAAGGAUGCCUCCCACAUGUUUGAUAAAUUGCUCAUGUGAAGAAAAUAGUGUCAUUGUAACAUGAAGUAUGUUAUUCCCAAGCAUAUGUCAACUAGUGCAUGCUAAGUGUUUGUUAAAAGGCCUAAAAUGAAAGAAUUAUGAUAUGUUGCAUGUAUUCCUAUUCAUGUGAAUUCCUUGUUGGAUGAGUUAUGAGACAACAUCAUGCUUCUCAUUACAAUUACAUGUUUAAGAUUCCCAAGUGCUUGAAAUGAUGCUUUAUUGGUUAUGUUGCGAAUAAUAGUCUAUUGUCAUGAUUGUUACGCAAGAGUUUUCAUGUCUUAUUUAUUUAUGCUAUCGAGUCCUGGGGGUAUUUAAUACCCAAAAACUUAGUUUCUUGUCUAAAGCUGAGUCAGUCUCAAGAUAAUCUCAGUCGUGCUAUGAUUAGCAGGAUUCAGACAGUUACAGAAUGUAAAGAAAUUCAGUAAUCUCAGUACUAGUUCAAUCCAGUCUCAGUAUUCAGUCUAAUCAAGCUCAGUACUCAGGUCAGAUUUCAGUAAAGCUGAGUGAGUUACAGAACUCAGUCACGUUCAUACAGAAAGUAGAAUCCAUAAGCAUUCUGUCAGACAACGGAAUCAAGCAAACUCAGUCAGAUCAGUCAAGUAAGAUAAUCAGCAACAGAUUCAGUUCAGUUUAGUUUAGUGUAAGAAUCAGUUCAGAGUCCUUCAGUUGGGAGUAGGAACUAGCACCAAGCGAGUGCAGGGAUGACGACUUCCCCUUUAGAGAGGCAGAGUCGUUAGGAGCAAUCCCUAAACUCCAAAACUGCGUAGCCAGCAUAGGAAUAGGAUUCACCCGUUAGAUUAAGGCUUGAUUAUCAUAUUGCCUUAGGCUUGACUUUCUGUUCAGGGUCACCCGUUAGAGAGGCUUGACCAUAGCAGAGGUCUUUACCCAUGGCACGGUAUUGACACCCUUCCAGCCCACUAGAUUAGAAUCGGGGCAUGUCGGUUAGGUGAGAACUCCUAUAGUUGCAGUUUUAGUAUCAGUCUUCAAACUAGAACUCAAAAAUCAGAACUGUCAGAUACAGCCACCCAUCUUAGAAAGGAACUUAGAUAGUUCCAUAGAUUCAUAGACCACCCGCUAGAUAGGCCUUGUAUCACAUAAAGUUAAUCAGUAUUAGUACUAAAAGAUCCAGAGAUCCCCCGUUAGAUAGGCCCGAUCUCAAACUCAGUCCAUCAUUUCUAUUAUUACAAGAUUCAGAGAUCUUCCGCUAGAUAGGUCUGAUCUUAGAUAUAAUUAUUCCUUAUCAUUAUUAGUAGAUUCAGAGAUCAUCCAUUAGAGAGGUUUGAUUACAGAUUUAGUCAGUCGAUAGUAGCAAAAUUAGAACUCAGUUAUUGAUAUAAGUAGAUUCAGUUAAUCAGCUUCAGUAUCAUCAGUUUCAAAGAUCACUUGCUAGAUAGGACUGAUCUCAACUUCAGUACUCAUUUAACAAUAUCAGAAGAUUCAGUUAUUCAGUACCUCAGUAUUAGUAGUGAGUUCAAAUAUCAGUAAAACAAUAUUUGAGUCUCAGUAUUCAGAGUCAUGAUGAUUUUCAGUUAUGGUUUGUGCAUUCAUGCAUAUGUCCUUAUUCAGUACUCGCAUGUUAUUCAGUUAAGUUAUGUUCAUGCAUAAGCCCUUGCAUUUAGCCUUACCUCAUAUAGCAUACUAGUACAUUCAAAGUACUGGCAUACUUUUUUCUUACGCUAUAGUGUUUUAUACCAUAGGUUCAUAAGCGCGAGAUCUAGAGCACCCAUAGCAGUCCAGACUCAGUAGCAGCAAUAGACGUAGUAGUCAGUCCUCUUCAUUUAAGGAUGCCUCAUAUUUCAGUUUUAUAUUAGAUUUAUUUUAUUUUCAGUAGAAGGAGUUAGUUGGGGACAUAUCCCAUCAACUCUACAAAUCAGAUAGUUAGAGGCUUUUCAGACAGAUGUAUUAGUAUUCAGUUUUUAGUUUUGUGCAUUUUAGACGUUUUGAACCUUAUGGCAAGUUUUCUCCAGUUUUCUGCAUUUGUUAUAUUAUAUUAUGCAGUUCUCAGGUACAGAUAUUAGUAGAGGGUUAGCUUGUGGUCCUUCGGGAUCAUGAGCACCAUGUGGCGUUAUGAUUUCGGAAAAUCGAGGCGUUACAUAUUAUCACCAAAACUCAUGCUUUAUGUUGUGAUGGUUAUGAUCCCUAGAAAUCAUGUGCAAGGUCAUCUCAAUGUCAAUUCUUAUUUUAUCACGCUUCGUGCUUACACAUUUCACAAGGGGUUAUUAUGAAUCCCUUUUGAUGUCUUUGCAUACUUGGUUGAGGAGGAAUGUUCAAUGCGAGGUUACAUUCUUUAUUCCAUAUUUUCAGAGCUUUAACAAAUUUCUACCCAUCAUUCGGGAAUGAAUGAUCCCAAGAGAAAGAUAAUGUAAUGCCCCGUAGUUAUAACACUCUAUUAAUGCAUUUAAAAUGACCUUUAGGACCACCAUAGUGAUGGUAGAUUAUGUGUAGACAUUGUGAGAGAUGUUGGGGGUAUUUUAGAACCUCAAAACUUAGUGUGUGUCGCACUGCCAUCGCCUACUGCCGCUGGAAAAGCUAGGCAGUGGGAUAGGCACCACCCACCUGGGAGCUAGGAGAUGGGCAAGGCGCUGCCCACGUUGUAUCUAUGCCAUGGACAAGGCGUCGCCCAUCUUUUGGCUAGGCCAUGGGCUGGGUGCCGUAUGGCCAAUGCAUUGAGGCGUAGGAGUUCUGUUUUUGUAUUAUUUUAAGGGCAACAGGGUCCUUUCACAUUCCAUAACCGUCCCUAAAAACUUUUAGACGAAAUUAAAGUCCAUAUUCACGUUAUAUCACUUACUAAAUCGCUAAUUCAUCUUCCUUAAGCAAGAGAGGGGAAAACUAACUAGGGUUUGAGAGAUUAAGCCUCAAGAGUCAAAGUUUCUCAAUGUUUCCAUCAAUCUAAGGUACGUGGGUCUUUCCUAAACCUCAUGAGCGUAGAUUUACUAUUUUUAAACAAGCUAUAAUGAGUAUAUAUUUAUGCAUACGAAAUGGGUUUCAAAAGUAUUAAUGAAUAUGCAUUAAAAAUAUUGUUUUAUGAUGAAGUCUUGUAGAAAUUGUGGUGUUGUGCCCUAAAUCUGAAAUAUUUUGAUGAGUUCAUGUGAUAUUAAGUUUGAGAAGUUAAAUAAGAGCAUGAUGUAUGUAAUUCCCUCUCUUAUUAUUGAACCUAUUGUUUUUACAUGUUGUGGGUUGAUUAUACGAAUAGCUAAAAGCUUGAGUUUGAAGGUUUAUUGUCAUGUAUGAAUUGUAUUAUUUUUAUUACUAAAUGUGAGGGUGUUUUUCUUAAUUUAUAAAUGUUCACGUUCCCAAUAGAGAGUUUAGUGUAAUUGAUAAAAGAGAUGAUCAUCGUAGAUAAAGUAUUGAAGAGAGAAAGUGUUUUAUUUUUAUGUGCUUUUGAAGUAUGAACUCUCGCCUGAUUUUUCAAUAUUUUGGGUGGUCAAUAACACGCUUUGACAUAAGAAGGGCAGUAGAGAAGUUGUAGUAGGAAAUGAAGAACUUGCAAGUCUGGGUAUGACGAUACCCUAUUAAAAUGUACCCUAAACAAAAUAAGAGAGAAACAGUUAUAUGAAGAAAACACGAUUUUUUUAAGAGUCUAAAAUAAGGCUUAAGAGAGUUAGAUGGUUACCCAAAAAAGGCACGAGUUUAGAUAGCUCAUUGCCCAAAAUCGUGAUUUGCUAACACGGGUUUUAUGUUUCUCCUAAAUAGGGGAUUGUACGCUGGCGAUGGCCUUGUGGCGUAGUAGAGAUGUAGAGACUCCAGUCCUUGCGACAAACUUGGGUUAGGGGCUUGGCUGUCGAGUCAAAUUUAAAGUCGGAUUUCAUAUAGCCCAUGAAAUUACAGAUUGCAGGGUGUACCAUCUAACUCAGUAGAGAAAUGAAGAGUUGAGUCAUGAUUUCAAGAAGUUGUUUUGAAGCUCAUCACAUUAUGCCCAUGUGUUUUCAUUUACCUUAUGUUAAAUAUUUUUAUGAAAUGCUCUCACCUAUGUUGUAUAAAAAUAUGUUAUUUUGGAUUGUUCUACAUACCAGUAUCUUUGUGUAUUGACCCCCUAUAUUUCAGGUUAUGCGGUAUAGUCCCAUGGUCCAUCAUAUUACUAGAACACUUGGGAUUUGACAGAAUUGAUGAGCCAUCCAUCUUUCGAAAGGCAUUUAUUUAUAUGUUGAGUCUUUCAGUAUAUGGUCCACCAGGGGCUUUGUCCCGGCCUAGACAAUUAGUAUUUAGUAGAGGCUUCGUUGACGGUAGUUGAAGUGUUGUAUUGUCAUAUCUUGUGACACAUUUCAGAUUAUAAGUUUUCCAAUAAACAUUGUUAUAUCUUCUGCAUUUUGAUUUAUGUAUGGAUUCUGCUUAUGAUAGUAAGUUAAGGGAUCUCUUGGGCCUUCGUGGUUCGGGAUGCCCAUCGCGGCCAGGUUCCCGACUCGUGUCGUGACAUAAUAACUUAAAAUCACCAUAGAAACUUUUGUCCAACAAUACUCGUCUAUCUAUAAUCUAUAUCUAUAAUAUAUUAAAAGUUUGAAGAACUUUAUAAAUGUUGUUUAAAUUUUUUGUCCUUCAUUAAAAAACCAGACAAUAGACAAAACAAUCAUUUACUAAUUUUUUUUUUUAUAAUAAAUUGUAGUAAAUAAUUUUUAAAUUUUAUUUUAAAUAACCAAAGACUACACGUGUGAGGCACACGCAUUUAACCUAAUAUUACUAAAAAUAGAUGUCUAACAAUACUUGUUCAGUUUGAAAAAUCAAUGAAUAAUUUACUCAUUUCUAUCCAUUUUACCCUUAAUAAUAAUUUAUAGUCAUUCCUCAAUAUAAUUUUCUAAGCAUUGAAUUAAUUAUAUCCAAAGGGCGAUAUAGUCAAAUUACUCGUACUACUUAUUGUUUCUUAACAUAUACAUCAAUGAUGGAUAAGUAUUAUUACUAAGAAAAUAAACUUUAAAUUAUGAAAUCACAUUGGUCAUCAAAUCUACUCUCCCGUCCCAAAUUUCCUAAUUUGAUUUCCUAUUUUACUUGUCCUUUUUCAUUAAUCAAGAAGAGACAAAAUUAUUUCUUCGUGUUUUACCCUUUGCAUUAAUUAUUUUUUUUUCAAAUUAAAAUAUAAACAUUAUUUAAUAGGGGCACUAUCAUAAAUUAGUCAUGUUAUUAAUUAUUUUUUUUAAUCAAUAUGUCAUCUCAAUUUGAGAUGGGUAAUUUGGGACGAAGGGAGUAAUUGAAUGUGGGAGUUUGGGACCAACACGGAUCAAACAUAUCAUUUAAGUGGUCCGCCCAAACAACUCUUCGUGGUUCGUAACAUUAUAAUUUAAGUGUACGCAAGAUUUUCCACAAAUUAAAUGGCAGUAUUCGUAUAUUCAUUAUCACAACUCAAUGUGAAAUUUUAUUUUGAAUUUGAGGCAGUGGAGCUUCCAAUCCUAUAAUUUUUUUUUCUUAUCCAGAUUGAUAUUUAUAUAUCUUAUGUGGUGUUAGAUCAUAGUAACAAUUUUAUUAUUUUUUUAAUGUGAAAUCAAUAAAUAUUUUUUGUAUAAAAAUUUCUUUUACUUAAUUAUGUGAGUUAUAUCUUCCAUUUUAAUUUAAGUGACUGAAUUUGUUUCUAGUCUAUUUAGAAAGAAACGAUCACUUUUAAAAUUUGAAAAUAUUUCAGCUUAAACUUAUCAUUUUGCCCCUUUUUGUCCGUUAAACUGCGUGUUUGGUCAAUAGAUUCACACAAAUUGCUUCUUCAGAAAAGGAACAUCAAACGUUUACUUGGAAAACACGUUAUACAUGUAUGAUCCAAGUAAACGUCCAAACAUCCUUUCUAGCAUACCCGUCCGAAGAGUCAUGGAUAGGAUGAGUGAAAUGGUGGACAGGUAGUGCCUGAAAAACAGAAACAGAUAUUUCUGAAUCCCAAGGGCGAGUUUUCCGGGAGAACCCAACAGUUGAUGAAAGAUUUGAAAGCGCACAAGAAGAAUUCAUUCCCACCUCGGACUAGUAGGGGAGUGGAGGCAUAUAAAUAUUCUACUUUAUUAAACUAGUUAACCAUAAUAUAAUAAUUAAUACAAUUUAAUAUAAAUAUUCGAUGCAGAUAAAUUUUUAAUCGUUGAGUUAUUAUACACAAAUAAAUAUUUUUAAAAUAUUAUUUACAUAUAUAUGUACCUAGCCAAUUGACAGAGGCUAUUUCUAGAAGGGUGUCUUUGUCACUGUUUACGUCCGUCUUUAUUUCUUGUCAACAAGGAAAAAUAUAAGUUAAUUGUGGUGGAAAUCAAGAGCAUUCUUGUCAUAUCCAGUCGAUUAGUUAAAGGGACACACUUCUGGUGUAACAGAUCAUAAUUAUAAUAAAUUAGUGGUGAAAUAAUUAAUGAAUAAAAAUUAAGAGGAAAAUAAGAGAAUUUCUUCUUAGAUGAGACACAAAUAUCUCGCUCUUUUUAAGAAGAUUCAAAUUCACUACGACAUAAUUUACAUCGAUAUAAUAGUAUAUCUCUUGACUUGUCCCCUACAAGAUACAACAACCCAUCAACGAUAUACAACUCAAGCAAUUUCAGAUUAGUUGAAGAGUCCAAAGCUCCAUCACAAAAACACCUUUAUUAAACAUAUUAAAACACUCUUUUGUAUAGUGAAUAUAGUUGUAGAUUCAGAAUAUUUUCUUUGUCUCAACUCUUUGUUUCACUAAUACAAUUUUCACACUUAUCAUAUUUUGUUGUUCAUAAUAUAUCCAACACAAAUGAAGAAACACCAUUAUUUGUAGGUGUAGAAUUUUUUCAUGUAAUGAAUAUGAUGAAUGAGGCGUAGUAACGUGGGUAGAUAAAUAGUCUUGAUGUUACAUAUGUUACAUGCAGUUAAUGACCAUGGAGUUAUAAGAAACUAAUGGUCAUAUGAGUUACAAGAACUAAUAAUCAUCUUUUACCAUAAUUUAUACCCACUAACACACAAAAAAAAAAAUAUGGUGAGUUACAAGAAUAAUGACACUGCUUUCUUCAUUUUAUGCCAACUAAUUGUCAUCCACUUUAAUAUUUUUAUUUUAAUAUGAAAUGCACCAACACUUCAUUCCACCUCCCUCUGUUUCAAAAUAAAUAAACUAAAACAAAAAAAAAAUAUAUCUUAAAAUAAUUGUCGCUUUAGAAAUUCAAGAAAAAAAAAUAGUAAGUGUUUCAAAAACAUUUUUGUACUUCUUUUAUUUUAAUUUGUUUAUCUACUUUCUUUUUUAGUCUGUUUAAAAAUGAAUGUAUCUUUCUUAUUUUGAAAACUCUUUAUCUUCUACCGGUCAGGUUUAAGACCACAAUAUUAAUAGUUUGAGAAAUUUUACAUACUUUUAAUUUAAGAUCAUAAAAUUCAAAAAUUAUUUUUUACUUUCUUAAACUAUAAACUGUGUAUCAAACCAAAAUCAGACAAAUACAUUGUAAAAAGAGAGUACUAAAGCAUUAUUUCUUUUUAAUAGUACUCAAUUAUUAAGAAACAUCGUCUAACAAAUACUAGAAACGGCACUAGAAAUAACAUAGUAAACUAUAUUUUUUAUUUAUUAUUUUUCGGUGUGAAAUAAGCUAAUAUGACAAUUAUUUUUUGGACGGAAGGAGUAUAUCACUUUGAAUUCCCCUCUUAUCAACUUCAAACACUAGUAUAAAUAACACAUUAAUUUCCAUAGAGGAAAUAAGUUAAGGAAUGGAGAUUGUUGCUUCCUACUUAGUCUCAUUUUUGUUUGCAAUAAUUUUAGUAAUAUAUGCAUGGAGGUUGUUGGAUUGGGUAUGGUUUAGGCCAAGGAAACUAGAUAAGUGCCUAAGAAAACAAGGUCUCAAAGGGAAUUCUUACAAAUUAAUCUUUGGAGACCUCAAAGAGUUGUCCAAAAGCUUUGAAGUUGCCAAAUCCAAACCAUUCAAUGUCUCUGAUGACGAUAUAUCUCCCAGAAUUCUUCCUUAUUUUGUUGAAUCAAUCAAGAAACAUGGUAAGUUUUCGUUUUGUUUCGCACCUAAUGGGUAUUCUGUGCCUGUUUUUCAGUCCGACUAAUUUGAAAUACUAGUGGAAAAUCUCACUAGGAUAAUUCCAUUCCUAAGAUUCGAAUCCAAGAUUCUUAAUUAAGAGUGGACGGAUACAUUAAAAAUUCGUCACUAGGUGGGAAUUAGCUAAGAAGUUUGUCGCUAAUAUGUCAAGAAAUAACUUGAAGCUAACAUGAUUUGUUGAUAAUAAUCUAUCGUUAAAUAAUAUUAGCGGCUUGUAUUUACUAUUUAUUUACUAUUUAGUGACAAAGUUAUCCAUUGCUAACAUUUUUUUAUAGUGCACUUAUCAAUCCACAACUUUUUUUGUGGAUAUGUAAGAAAAAGGAGUGCUUUGAAUUUUGGAGAGCGAAUGGUCCUUUAAAUUUGACUAAAACUAUGAAAAAAAGUGAUAUUAGCACAAACUCAUAUAUAUAGGAACAAGUUUUGUAGUUUUUGUUAUUUUUGAUUUAUUUGAUCUAGAGUGUUUUGUAACUUUUUGAAAUGUAAUUUCCGCUAAGUUUUUAUAUUUUCUUGGUGUCGAGUUCAAUUUUCUUGUUAGUGCAUAUUAUAGGACUAGUGCAAUUAUUUGCGCUUCACGCAGUUGAUCGAAAAAUUAAUAUAUUUCACUGAUUACAUAUACAAAUAUUAAUUCUAUAAAUUUUUAGUUUCUUAUUUUAAUGAAAUUGCAGAUAAUAUUUAUACUUAAAUCAGAAAAAAAAUGUAGAUCUAUAUCUUUAUCCGAAAUAAUGAUAUGGUCUUUCAUUUUUUUCUCAAUCUGUACCAUCAAAAUACUUUACAUCUUUUGAAGUAACCCUUUCAUUUGUACAUAGUUGAAUUAAAAAAAAUCAACAUGUGUUGUGAUGUAGUCAUAGGACUACUCUACCCUUAACCAGAGGUCUGGGAUUCGAGCCCUGCGUAUAAAGAAAAUCUUGUUGAGAGCAUCACCCCUAAAAUGGGUACCUGACAUCGGAUGAGAACAAAAAAAAAUUAAAAAUAAUUAAAGUAUAUGAGUGGUGAAGUAAAUAGAAUAAGAGGUUAUAUUUCAAAACAACAAUUUACAUAUUGAAUUAAAAAUAUUAUUUUUUUAUUUCAAUUUCCUUCAUCUCUUGUUUGAGUACCUAUCUUUCGUACAAACAUCAAUUCUUUAAAAAAAUUUAAUUUCUAUGUCAUGUUUUUAUUAUUACAUUUGUUUAUAUAUUUUAAAUAAUUUUUUAAGAAAUUAUGAAAAUGAAACAAAUAAGAGUUAUGAAUAAUAUUUAAAAAUAGAAGUUAUAAAUAAUUCAAAUAGCUUCAAUGUAAAAGAGGCAAAAAAAAAAAAAAAAGAUAAAAACUUUACAACAUAGUACUUAAAUAAAGAAAAAUAGAAUAUACUAAAAAUAAAAAAAUCAUUAUCUCGUAAAAUUUAAUAAAUAUUAUAAGCAAUUGCUUAUUAAUUUAGCGUUUACCGCAAGUUGAUUUUUUUAUCAAUCACACAGAAUAGAUAUAAUUAAAAUAUCAAUACUAUCAAAAUUACUUCAUGACGUGAAGAUUUCCUUGAGUAUACUUAUUUUGCAGAAGAAUACGAAUACAUAUAAAAAAAUGCAAAAACUAAGAAAACAGGGCUAAGUACAUAAAAAUCGAUUAAAAAAUUGAGAAUGAAAUAUUUCUUGUCUUCCAAUACUCCUUUUAUUUUACAUAUUAUAAUUCAUAAGGUAAAAUGAUAGAAAAGAGAAAGAAUGAGGUUCUUCAUGAAACAAAAUAUGAGUUUAUAUAGCAAAAUAGAGGAAGGUCAUGAGACUUUCAAAUUAAAGUUUGGGGGUUAUAAACAUAAAAAUUAUGAGAGUUACAAAUAUUAUUAUAGGAGUCACAAAUAUUAUGAGUUAUGAGUAAUUACUUCUUAUAUAUACAUUAAAUAUUAAAAAAACUUGAAAUAGUAGAAGAUAUUAUUGAAAAUCCUAUAUUUUUUUUUUGGUAAUCAAAAGAUGUAUUAAGAAGGAAUAGUUACAGAGGAGUUAGUCUGGUUCAAGAGCAAAAACCUUUGGGCUAUGCCCAUGAGAAAGUACUGGAACCUUUCUCACAUUAGUAGUACCAACUACAUCCGCCCAUACAUUUUGGGCUACAAAAGGGAGGAGAAACAAAAAUAUUACAAAGACUUAGUUGUUCCUUCGUUGCUCUAUGUUUAGCUAAGGCAUCAGCAACUAAGUUUUCCUCCCUAUAGCAAUGCUGAAUUAUUGUUGGUCCCAGCUUUCCUAAUAGCAACCUACAUUCAUGGAGGGGAGGGUUAUAAACAAGAUUCCCCUGCUGGAGCAUCUCAAUUAUUUCUUCAAAAUCAAUAUUAACAUGAAUUGGAAGCAAACGAUGCUGCAGUACAAGCUGAAGACCUUGAAUCAGGGCCAACAGCUCCAUCAAAUUAUUGGUAGCAUAAGAAAAAUAUUGGGCAAACCCCAGUCCCCAGUCCCCAUUGGAAUUCCUAAUCAUAUCCCAAACGCCACCAUUACCAGGGUUAUCCAAACAAGAACCAUCAGUGUUGAGUUUAUAGGUACCUCGCGGGGGAGGUGUCCAAGCAAUGGAAAUAGAAAUCCUAGUAGGGAGAGCGGUUUGGUCGGUGAGGUGAGCAAAUUCAGUAGCUUCUACAUAAGCUUGGGUGAAGGAAGGAGGUAAGGACUUAAUAUUAAAGAGGUUUAAGUUCUUGUCCUUCCAAAUAGUCCAAAGAAAAAAAGAGAAGAAGAGUAUACCAGGAGAGAGAACUAUUAAAGCUUGAAUACUGAAGCUGCUUAACAGUGUUGAACCAAUGUGCAGCAUGAAAGAAGUCUAGGGAUAAGAAAAGCUCACCCUUGUAGAGCUUGAUCAGGUUACUCCAAAAGGAGGUAGUUUGAGGACACUCAAAGAAAAGGUGAGGGAUGUUCUCCAAAGGGUGAGUGCAGGAGGGACAGAAAGGGGAAAGAUUGAUGCCUCUAUGAACAAGCGUAGCUCUAGUGGGGAAGCUAUUAUUGCUCAAAAGUCAUAGGAAACACUUAAUCUUAUUAGGAAUAGGUGUUUUCCAGAUCCAUUUCCAGUGGGAAAGAGCAGGUCCAGGCCCAUUAAUCCUGGAUAGCAGAAGGUGGUAAACAGAAGCACAAGUAAAUGAUCUAUUACCAUAAAAAAGCCAUCUAGGGGAGUCAGUGUUGAUAGAAGGGUGCGGACUAAAAGUAUUAUGAAUCCUGGCUUGAAGUAGAGCAGGGAUAUGAAAAGGAAAAGAGUCUAAGAAUAACACACCAUUAGAAAGAUAGGAGGAAGUUUAGGUGGCUUGGGGUCAGGCAAGGGGUCCUGAAUGAAAGAUAAAAGAGUAAGGAGAGAGGAAACCCAGUGAUCAUGCCAGAUAUCAAUUUUGUUCCCAUCAUAAGUAGAUCAGAAGAGAGCAUCCUUGCAUAAGGAUCAACCUCUCUUAAUAUUCCUCUAGGUAGAGGAGGAAGGAGAGGUUUUGAGGUUGGAAUUACCAUAUUUCUUAGCCAAAAGUUGGGUCCAAAGAAAGGAAGAGGAGGUAUGGAAUCUCCAAGCAAGGAUGCAAAGAAGGGAAUCAUUUUUUACAUUGGCUGUUUGGACCCCCAGACCACCUUGAUACUUAAGGAGAGUGAUAGUGUUCCAAUUAACCAGGUGCAUCCUCUUUUUAGCCUCAGUAGUUAUCCAGAUAAAGUUUCUUUGGGUUCUAUCAAGGAGCUUAUGAAGUUUUCUAGGGAAAAGGAUAAAUUGAAUGACAUGGUUGGGAAUACUGCUCAGUCUAGCUUUAGCCAGGGUGAAUCUCCCAGCCAUAUUGAGGAAUCUAGUUUUCCAACUAGCAAGUUUGGAAUGCAAGUUAUCAAGGAGAAAAUGAAAGUCAGCAAGUUUAGGAGGCCCCUGAAAUAUGGGGAAGCCCAAGUAUUUCGCAAAAGAAGCACUAGCCUUGAUACCAAAAAUAGAAGACAAAGUAGAUUGGGUAGCUGGACUGCAAUUAGCAGAAAAGAUAACCUUAGACUUACUGAGGUUGACCUUUUGGCCAGAGUGAGAACUAAAGCUAUCAAAGAUCCUGGUGAUGGUGAGACAAGAGGCUCUAUCUGCCUUAGCAAACAAGGUUAGUUCAUCAGCAAAGAUGAGGUGGGAGAAAGGGGGGCCUCUUCUACUGAUUUUAAUAGGGCUCUAUUGGAGAGUGUCAACCUCAUGGUUAAUCCUUCUAGUUAGGAGAUCCAUACAGAGAAUAAAUAUAUAGGGUGACAUUUGAUCACCCUGUCUGAUGCCCCUGGUGGGAUGGAAGGCAUCAGUUUUACCCUCAUUCACAAGAAGAAAAAUAGAGGAAGGGGAGAGACAAGACAUAAUGAGGGCAGAGAGCCUAGGAGGAAAAUUGAAAAAGAAGAGAGCUUGCCUAAUAAAGGACCAUUCAAGUCUAUCAAAAGUUUUAUUAAGGUCAAUCUUUGACAAUUAUGCUCUGAGAUCUGCCUUUUUGGGUCCUAAGGUGCCUUAAGUACUCUUGAACAAUAAUAAGAUUGUCAGAGGCCCUCAUCUUAGAGAGGAAGCUAGCCUGAGUAAGACCAAUGAUGGCUUGGAGGUGAGGCUUAAUUCUAUUGGCAGUAAUCUUACUGACAAUUUUGUACUAACUAUUGCAAAGGACAAUAGGUCUGAAGUUUCUAAGAGAAGAGGCAUUCUUACACUUAGAAAUCAGGCACAAAUAAGUAAAAUUCACCUUAGCAUCCAUGGUAUAGGUGGUGAAGGUGUGGGUGAAAAAUGCAACAAACAAAGGGCCCAAAGAUUCCCAAUAUUUUUGGUACAUGGAAAAGGUGAAGACCAUCAGGACUAGAAACUUUUGUAGGUUUGAAUGAGAAGAUAACAUUUUUUAUUUCAGCAUAAGAAGGGAGAGAGUCCAUGGCUAAGUGUCUAGAGGUGUUUAUAGAGCCCAUAUUGGAGGAAUUUGGCUGACAAGCUUGGAAACAACAGGUAAGAGAAGUAGAGAAAAGGGACGAAUAGAAGGAGAGGAUAGUAUUCUUGAUCUCUUGUUGAUUGUGUAUCCAGACACCAUUCUCAUUGAGGGAUUGAAUACCAUUUUUCCUCCUCUUGUUAAUGGUAGUGGUAAAGAAUUUGGUGUUCUGAUCCCCCUCUAUAAGUCAGUUAAUUCUAGAUUUAAGAAUCUAGAAAUCAGAUUUAUCCCUGAGAAGGGACUUGUAGUCCUGAAGAAGCUAUUGCUCAAGGGUAUGUAAAAAGAAGCCGGUAGAGAACUUAGGAGACUUUUGAAUCUCAGCUAGUCUAGCAAGAAUAUGCUUUUUUCUAUGGAAGAGGUUACUAAAAACCUCUCUGUUCCAGGUUCUAGCCUUCUCCUCAAAGUCCAAGAUGACAUCAGUGAGGUCAGAACCAACAGGGAAGUAUUAGCUUACUAAGUUAGGAAAGUCACUAUGGUUACACCACAUGAAUUCAACUCUAAAAGGCUUCAGGAUAUGCAGGAGAGGCAUAGAGAGUUGAAGAAGCAAGGGACAGUGAUCUGAAUGGGUCUUAGGAAAAUGUAAAACAUAGGAGUUAAGGUAUAAUUGAAUCCAGUUAUCAGUAGCUAGACACCUAUCAUGCCUCUCCAUAAUAAGGGACUGUCUAUUCCUAUAUCUCAUAAUGGACCAGGUAAACUUACUGUCCCUAAAGCCUAGGUCUAUGAGCCCACAAUAGUUAAUACAUCUCCAAAAAGCAUUAGCCCUAUGCAUAUUGAUACAGUUUCCCCCAAACUUCUCAGAAGUACUCAGGAUCUCAUUAAAAUCACCACUUACAAGCCAAGGAAUACUGUUAUCAUGAUUAAGAGAGUCAGCCAUGCAACUGAGAUGGUCCCAGAGAUUAUGUUUGAGUAAGACAUUAGUGCUAGCAUAAACUAUAGAAAGAAUCCAGGAGGUGGGAGGAUUACUAACCUGGACAGUAGCAUGAAUAGCCUGAGAGGAAAUAGAAAUGCUAGUGAGGGAAAUGGUGUCCUCCCUCCAAAAGAUAACAAUACCCCCAAAGUGUCCAGUAGCACUGGAUUGGAGGAAAAUCCUACAUUUUACUUUUAGCUCAAUAUUAUUUUCUCUAUCUAAAGAGCAUUUAUAUCAAAUAAGAACAAUGCAAAAUAUGUCACAAAUAAGCACAAACUAAAAUAAAUUGAAUGAUGUUAUUUAAAAGAAUAAUUAUACCUUUCGAUUCUCCAUUACUACAUAUAAUAAUUAUAUAUUAAUAUAAUAACUUAUAAAUAAUAAAUUAUUAUGGUUAUUAACAAAUUUAAUGAAACUUAAUAAAUGGGAUGAUUAAACUUUGAAUUAUUUGGAUGAAUUAUGCAACUAAUUCAAUUAAUAGCAUUGAUAAUUUAAUAGCAUUAAUAACAAAUUGAUUAAAUAUGGUUAUCUUUAAUAUUCUAUGUUUUAUAGUGAUUUUUUCAUUCUUAUAAAAUUAAGAAAAAAGUUUAAAAAAAAUCACAAAAAAGAUAAAUAUGAUUCUAGGCCUUAAAGUGCGCCAUGUCAGCAAAUGUUUAAUCCUCCUUUAUACGUAAUUUUUUAAACUUGCUCUUUAAAAAUACUUAAAAAUUUAUUUUAAACUUAAAAAAUAUUUAAAAUAAGUCAAUUCAAAUAGACUCUAAAUGACCUAUUAAAAUUGACAAAACUAUAUUAACAGUGAAAAGUCUUACAAGCUUAAUAAAUAUAUUUUUCACCGUUACUCAUUUGAAAAUGAAACUGAAACAUCAUAUAUAAUAUUAAUACCUCCAACUUCAUUCCAACGAAGUGUAUUAAUCACUACUUAAAUGCUUCAAUUAUUAUUUUAUGGUGAUUAAAAGAAAAAACUCUUCACCUCCUUACGUUAUUUAUAACACCAGUAAUUAAAAAAAUAUUAAAAGUCUCAUCAAAUUUUACUUUACAAAUUUUAAAAGUCCAAAAUGCACACACACAAAAAAAAAACGUCGCUUCUCAUUCAAACAUAUAGUCAACAAAAUAUAUGCGAUAACAUUUUGAAAAUUAUUUUAUAUUAAAAUAAUUAUAAUUGAAUGAGUACAUUAAAUGCAUUAAGUAAUUAUAAAAAUUUAUUCUAAAUGGAAAGGUGAAAAAAAUUGGAAAAAAAAGGAAAAAUUAAUGUAAAUGAGAACUUGAUAGGUACAAAGAAGGAAAAAAGAGAAAUUUAAGGAAUCUUAUAAAAAGAAUAAUGAUUAGGUUAAUUAAGGGGAGAAAAAGUGAUAGUAAAUUAACGUAAUAGAAGGGUAAAAAAAAGGCAUUAGAAAAAGUAAUUAAUUAUAUUAAUUAUUAUUAACACUAAUAAGUAAUAUUUUGUUUUCUUGCAUUAAAUUUAGUUUUCCUAAGAAUUUAUUUAAUUUUUCCUCAGAAAAAUUGAGAAUUUUUUUUAAAAUUGACAAAAAGAAUAAACAUUAAUGUUGAUCAUAAAAGGGGCCAAUCACCUCUUCUUUUUCCUGUUUUUUUUUUUUUUUAAUUUCUUCAUCUUCUUCUUCUUCUUCUUCUUCUUAUUAUUAUUAUUAUUAUUAUUCUUAUUAUUAUUAUUAAUAAUAAUAAUAAUAAUAAUAAUAAUAAUAAUAAUAUGAAAUGAAUUAAAUAUUAAAAAAAUCAGAAAAGUAAACGAUAUAAUCAAAUUCAAAUCACAACAUUCCUUUUUAUUUUUUCGUUAUUCCAUACUUUUUUAUUUUUCUUUAUUUUUCACUAUUUGUAUAAUUUUUCAUUAUUUCUAUAAAUUCAAGAUGACCAUAUAUGGAAUAAAACAAGUAGUUUAUUCUUUGAAAUCUUUCUUAGAAAAAUUGUAACAAAAGUGAGCCAUUACUGUGCAAUUCCUAAGAUUAUGGGAUUCUCCUAAAUAUGAAUAGAAUCUUCCUAAAAAAAUAGCACAUCAAAAGAUAAAAUACUCAAUAAAUUAAUAAUAAAUUUAAGCUAAUAAUCAUGCUUCUUCUUCUUCUUGUUUCUUCCUCUGCUUCUGCUUCUUCUUGUUUCUUCUUAUUUUUUUCUCCUUGUUUCCUCUUCUACUUCUAUUUCGUUAUUCAACUUCUUGUUGCUUUUGCUUCUUGUGUACCUUCUUAUUUUUGCACUCUCGGAUAUCAAUAAAAUUUAAAUGCUUAGUGAAAGUCUCAUUCUAUUAUAUUUCUAUAAAUUCAUAUUGCAUAAAGCUCAUAUUUGAUACAUGAGAGUCACUAUAGAUGCAAUAACAGGAGGAGGACUACUUGGUACUACAUCAAUUACAAGUGAUUGUGAAGAAAAGGAAUCAUCCAUAUUUUGAACAUUGGAUGAUUUUGUUGAUGCUUUCAUCAUUGUUUUCUUGAUAUAAUUGUGUAGGGGUUCUUCCAGAAUUUGCAAUAUAAAGAAUUUGUAGAAUGUGUUUGGUUCUAUGACCUUUCAAAUCUUCAGAAACUGUAAUGGAAGAAUUAAUGUGUAAUUAAUUUUUCACACAAAUGAAUAAUAUAAGAAAGAGGGAAAUUUUUCAAGAAAAAAACAGUAGAAAAAGUUUUGAAAAAUGAGAAAAAAAGAUAAAUAUGAUUUUAGGCUUUAGAGUGCGCCACAUCAGCGAUCUCAUAAUUCUCUCUUAUAUAUUGAUUUGAUGACACUUUCUUGGUGUUUAUGAUUGCCCCCUCNNNNNNNNNNNNNNNNNNNNNNNNNNNNNNNNNNNNGCUGUUUCCUAUCAAAUCUAACGAACAUAACAAAUAAAUAUUUGGAGACUGACAGUAUUAACUGUAAAACUGUUUUGUAUAUACUUGCUUAUCUAAACCUACCAUCAAUCAUAAGAGAUCAUUUAUGUCAUCUUUUUAACUUUGAACUUACAAAAUUUUACAGGUAAAAACUGUUUUAUGUGGGUUGGGCCAAAGCCUAUGGUAUUAGUAUGGGACCCUGAGGUAAUAAGAGAUGUGUUUAACAAACAUGCUCUUUACCAAAAGCCCAAAUCAACUCCCUUAACCAAGUUGCUAGCACAAGGAAUUGGAAGCUAUGAAGAGGAUAAGUGGGCCAUGCACAGAAAAAUCCUCAAUCCUGCUUUCCAUACGGAGAAGAUAAAAGGUAUUUUUCACCACCACCCCUCUAACAAAAAUGAUCUAAGAUAAAGUUUAAGUAAUAUAUAUAAUAAUGUCUCAUCCUUAACCGUUUAAGUUUUUAAAUGAAAUAAGCACAUGUAUUAUGGUAGAAUAGGCAUAGACUAGGACUAAAAUCUCAUUGUCACCCAAAAACUUUAGAUAUUUACACGCAGAGGCGGAGCUAGAAGUCAGAGAGGUUCAUCUGAAUCCUUUUUUAUAGAAAUUUACAAAUGUAUAUAUUCGGUCAAACUUAUUAUUUUUAUUUAUAGUAUGUGAUGAAUCCUUUAGUUUCUUGGUUGUGUUCAUUUCCUUAUAUUUUCAAUUCCUUUCGUGAAAAUCCUAGUUUCGCCACUAUCUACAUGUUUGGCCUAUGAGGAGAAAAGAAAUCAGGCAUACAAACGAAUGUUGGAUAUAUAAUUGACAUAAUAUAUAAACACAAACUCGAACUUGGUCUUAACUACCAAGUAAACACCCCAACUUUGAGCAUGCACAUCAUCUAGACACCUCAAUUUGUCUCAAUCAUAUCAAUUAAUAAAGCUUACAAAAUGAUCAUCUAGACACCUACCAAAUUUAUGUGCCACGUCGGCGUCUGGUGUCCACGAGACACAAGAAAGUGUUUAGUUUCCGGUUGCGGAAGUGUUUAAAUGUGCACUCUCAAAGUUAAAAAUGCUUAGUUACCAACCAAGGCCAAGUAUCUGUUUAUGUAUUAUACCUUAUGCUUUUAAAUAAGAGAGUCACAAAAUUCAAUAAAAGACCUCACCCCCGAGACAAUACAAUGAAAUUUAUUUCCACUUGUAUUGAUUAUCACAAAUCCAUGAUGUCAACUCUACUUUCCCGGAACUCCACUUGUGGGAUUACACUAGAUAUUUUGUUGUAACUCUGCUUUCAUUCUGUUUUCUUUUUUACAUUUUUGUUCCUUUCUAGCUUGCAAAUUUAACCCAAGUUUGCAGGAGUGAAAUUUUCUGCAAGAUGCAGUUUGGUAGCACUAAUGUGUGGCUUACAAAUGUGUAGAAUAUGUUUUCAGCAGUUCACUUGAGCUGCAGUGAAAUGGUGAGUCAAUGGGAGGAGGCUGUCUCAAUGGAAGGAACAUCCUGCGAAGUCGAUAUAUGGCCUUACCUUCAAAGAUUGACUAGUGAUGUCAUUUCUCGCACAGCCUUUGGGAGCAACUAUGAAGAAGGUCGAAAGAUAUUUGAGCUUCAAAAAGAACAAGCUGAGCAUGUCAUUGAAGCUUCUCGCACCUUAUAUAUUCGAGGAUGGAGGUAAUAAAAUGUCGUUUUCCUUGAGUUUAAGUUGUGUAUAUUGGCAGGGUAUAAUAUUUAUUACGUUAAGUUACCUCACCACGAAGAAUCAUGAAUUUAUUUUUGAAGUUCAUCGCUAAUCCAUCUCUAAUUAGCACGCAGCUAACAUGUUUAUAGCUAAUCCAUCAUUAAAUAGAAUUAGCGAUAGAUUUUUGUUGUUUAGAGCAGAAGUUAACCGUUCUUAAUUCCAUUUAUUUUUGUAAUGCUUGUAAUAACCAGUUAAUAUACAGUACUAAUAGAGUAGAAAAUCUUUACGCGUGUAUAUAACCCUCCUUUCCUAUGUCUAUUUCCAAAUAGCUUCAAGAGAAGAAGUUAAAGUAGUGAUAAUUGAUGAUGAUAUACAUGUUUUUGUGUGUUAAACUAAUGUAGGUUUUUGCCAACUAAGCAAAACAGAAGGAUGAAGGAGAUUGACAAAGAAGUUCAAGGACUGAUUAGGGGAAUCAUCGAUAAAAGAGUGAAGGCAAUGAAAGCAGGGGAGGGCAAUGCCGACGACUUAUUAGGCAUAUUGUUGGAAUCCAACUUUAAAGAAAUUGAACAACAUGGCAGUAAGGAUUUCGGUAUGACUACACGAGAGGUCAUCGAGGAGUGUAAAUUGUUCUAUUUUGCUGGGCAAGAGACAACCUCUGUAUUGCUUGUAUGGACAAUGAUUUUGUUGAGCAGGUAUCCAGACUGUCAAGUUCGUGCUAGAGAAGAAGUUUUGCAAGUCUUUGGUGAUGGCACGCUGGAAUUUGAUGGAUUAAACCGCUUAAAAACUGUGAGUUAGGUCAACAUUUUUUUACCUUCUUUUACGAAUCCAGUUGAAUCUAAUACUUCUUAAAAUUUUGCCUUAUUUCUCACACACAUAAAUAUAUGUAAUAUGUCGUGUGUCAAAGAAAUUAGAUUCAGCAUGCUAAUCCAAUGUUGAACUCUUUUCAUAGGUGACAAUGAUUUUGCACGAGUCGUUAAGGCUGUACCCACCAGUUGGAGCACUUAAUCGAAAGAUUAAAACCAAUACCAAGGUAGGGGAACUAAGUUUACCAGCUGGAGUGAUGCUGUCUUUGCCAAUACUUUUAUUGCAUCAUGACAAGGAAAUAUGGGGCGAUGAUACGAUGGAGUUUAAGCCAGAGAGAUUCAGUGAUGGCGUUUCAAAGGCAACAAAGGGCCAAAUGACGUUUUUCCCAUUUGGCGGGGGACCUAGGAUAUGCAUUGGGCUAAACUUCGCAAUGAUAGAAGCCAAGAUGGCCUUGGCUAUGAUUCUACAACGCUUCACGUUUGAACUAUCUCCCUCUUAUACACAUGCGCCGCUGGCCGCAAUAACAAUGCAACCCCAAUAUGGUGCUCCUCUUGUCUUGCACAAACGACUAUAAAGAGAGAAUAAACUUUGCUUAUUUAUGUCACUUUCCUCUUUGCUUGUUUGAAAAAGAAUAACAUUUUUUUUAUUUGAAAGUUUUUUAAUUUGAAACUUCUCAUUUUAUGGUAAAUUAAAUGAGAUGAACUUUUGUACCCAUUAUAAUAUCAUGAUAUAUGUAAAAUUACAAGUACUAAUUAAGAGUACUUUUGGUAUCGUCUAAUUGUCUUUCUUUAUUUUGCACCAACUAUAAGAAGAUAUUGGACAUUCAAAAAAAAUGUUGUAUGGAUUCAUUUGUAAAUUGUAAGUUUACAUAAAGAGCAUAUUUGAUCAUUUGAUCAUACCCCAUAUUAGUAACCUGUCUCUAGUGUAGAGCAUGUCUUGGAUUGUGAUCUUAAAACCAUUUUUCAAACCGUUUAUUGAUUCUUUUAUUUUCGCUCUGUUUCAAUUUAUUUGAAGUACUUUUUAUUUUUAAUUUGUUUCAAUAAGAAUGUCUCUUUCCUUUUUUUUGAUAAUUUUUUAAUUUUAAUUUUCUACAUGACAUGUUUAAAAGCAAAAGAUGUGAUGCAUUCUACAUAUCUUUAGCUUAAAACAGUAAAUUUAAACGUCUUCUUUACUUUCUUAAACUCCGUAUCAAGUUAAAAUCAAUCAAAUAAGACAAACAAAUUAAAAUAAAGAGAGUAAUUUACUAACAUAUAAUAUUCAGAAAAGGGUCAACAAUACCCCUAAAAUAUUCGAAAUGCAGUAAAAAUAACCUCCAAUUGUUUUUUAACUCAAAAAUAUCCCUCCGUUGAAUUUUUGGCUAAAAAAUACCUAUCUCUCUAAUGGAAUGACACUAAGAAUGCCACGUGUACUAAAAAUGUCACAUGAACAGUCCACGGAGAAAAUCACCCCAUUUAAUUGUAACCCCCCGCAUUUUUUUUGGACUAGAAAUUGAAGCGUCGUUCCUACGCGUAUUGAUCCGAACUAGAUGAUUCUUUGUUAAUAUAUGUGUGGUGAUAAAUCCUACAGUGUGAAAAUACCUUUGGAUAUUAAUUGAGGUUACAAAAAUCCCCUAACUCAAAGACGAGUUGAAAACAAUUCCAUCGAGUACGUUUUAGUGGACACCUCAACUUGGGUCAACUUUUGUCGAGCAUAACUUAUGUUAUAUAAUGAAAUGGGUGGCCUUCUAUUUAUCAAAUGAAAUUCCUUUGAGUCCUCUUUCCAAUGCAAUUGAUUUUGUCGAAAUCCAACAUCGGAGUAAAAAGUUAUACCCAAUUUACUUCAGCAUGUCAGUCUGUCAAACCGAGGGACUGCUGCGGAGUUUUUGAUUUCCUUAGGGGUAUUUUGAUAUUUUUCAUCAUCCCAAACUUCUUCCACACGAUUUAAAUCGUCCAAAACACUCUAUAAUACAUUUCUUUUAUCAGUUUUAAUAUCUCAAUUUCUCUUCUCUCUCAAGAGUAAAAUGAAAACUAGGCUUUCUUUCAAGAUCAAGAAUCAAUCCCGUAAGUCCAAGAUUUCUAAAGAACAAAUCAAGAUUUGAGUUCUACUCUUCAAACCUUGUAAUCUAAGGUACGUGAAAUUUUCCUAAAUCUACAUGGGCAUGGUAAAUUCUUAUUAAUCAUGUUAAAGUUUUAGAAAUUAUGAAUUUACAAAAAGGGGGUUUUGAAUUUAUAAUUAGAUUCAUGCUUUUAAAGUUUUUGAUGAUGUUAAUUUGGUCUUGAGGCCUUUCCCCCAAAUCUAAUUUAUAAUCAUGUUUAAGUAGAUAUAUGUAUGAGUUUGAUGAGUUUGAAUUAUGAAUUGAGAGCAUGAACUAUUUGAAAUCUCUCCCUUAUUUACAAGUCUCUUAACUUCGUAAGAUAUGAUGUGUUCGAAAUGUGAUAUUGGAAAUAUAAUUCAAUAUAAAAGCCUUGACUUUAUUUAUGACUUGAUUAUGAUUUUUUAAUUGAAGAGAGGGGGUUUUACAUGUUGGUAAGUGCUGAAUAUAUAUAUAUAUAUAUAUGAAAAAAAUUUCACGGGUUAUUGAAACUCAUGACCAACACAUGUUUGUUGAAAUGAUUGAAAAGAAUGACCUUUGCGUAAUUUGAUAAAUGUUUUGAAAGAAUGAAUCUUUCGGAAUUGUUUAAAGUAUGGUAGUCUAACCUUUGUAUUUUGAAAGAGAAAGCUGUAAAGGAUAUUUUAUGGCUCAGAAUUAUGACUUGCAAGUCUUGGUAUGACGAUAUCAAAUCAGAUAAAGUCAUGAUAAAACUCAGAACAAGAUACAGAUUUCAUUUUAGAUUUCAGAUUUUGAAUUCAAAAAGAUGCAUGUUUAGAAUGGGUUAAAAACUGGGCACUAAGAGAGUUAGGUGGUUAUCCGAAGAAGGUAUGAGUCAUAUGAUUCAUUGUCCAAAACCGUGUUUCGUCGAUACGAGUAUAUUAUUAUACGCUGGCCUACUACCCUGGGGAGUUUCAUAUUUAGAUACUUCAACCCGCGCGGCAAACUUAGGUUGGGCGCUUGUCUGUCGAGUUAAUGACGGAUCCCAUAUUUCCCAUGGGAAACUUUCAGAUAUGUAGGGUAUACCACUUACCUCAGAAGUAAAAAAAUAAAGAAUGGUUUUACAUCUAUAGAUUUGCAUUGAAUGAUUAUUUUAAGUUGCCCAUGUAUUUUAAAUUAUUUCUUGCUUAACAUUUUUAUGAAAUGCUCUCACCUAUGUUGUAUAUAAAAGUACAUUAUUUUAGAUUGUUCUACUUACCAGUACAUCUGUACCCCUCCAUCUUAGGAUCUGAGAAACAGUCUCGGGGUCCAGUUCAACAAUAGGUUGAGUGCGUUGGAAGUUGCAAUUAGUGAGCCUCCCUUACUUUGGAAGGACUGUAUUAGAACUUGUUAUUGUUAGUUUAUUUUGAUUCAUGGCCCAACUGGGGGCUUAUCCCAGAUUUCAGACAAAUGUCAUUUUUAGUUGUUAGAGAUUUCGCAGACUGAUGUUAGACGUUGUUUAGAGGUUUAUGUUUUCCAUUCCAGAUUGUUCAAUUGAAUUAUGAUAUCGACCAUGAUUCCAUUUUAUUUUGUAUUUCCGCAGUUCCUCUUUGUAAAUGAAUGGUGUAUUUGAUUGCAUCUUAAAAGGGCUCUUGGGCCUUCAUGGUUUGGGAUCUCUGUCACGGCCAGGGCCCCGGUUUGGGUCAUGACAAACUUGGUAUCAGAGAAUGGUUCAUGGUCCCAGGGUGUCUGCAAAAUCACGUCGGGUAGAGUCUUGUUUAUGGGUGUGUAGCACGCCACACUGAUAAAUAGAAGGCUAUAAGGCAUUUAGGAAUGUCUCUUUUUCUUCAUGUUCUAGUUCGUGUUAUGGAGUCAGAAUGUUCCUCUUUCAUACUCUAAUUCAUGCUAUGGUGUCGCUUAUACUAAAUAAAAGUUAUCCUAAUUGUUUCCUUACUCUGGUGUUCCCAGAUAAUGCUUUCAGAUUUACUAGCAGAAACUUCAGAAGUCACAUAAAGGGCUUGAGAGAAGCUCCCUAGUGUGUCAUAAGUCCCUUAAGUUUAAAGUUAUGUCCUCAUUCUUAUGAGGCGUUCAGUUAAGACACAGUAAGAUGUGUAUUCUUAAGUCAUUGAAUAUUGUGUGUUAAGUUUCUAUCUCUUGUAAUCUUGUUAUCAUUGUGUUGUUGAAGCUAAUCUAGUGAAGCCGUGUGGGGCUCUUUCAAUUCACUAGCAUAGUUGCUUUGUUAUUCAUCUCAUUUUCCUAUUUAAAACACAAAAUCAAAGUCUAGUGAAGCCGUGUGAGGCCUAUUUCGAGUCACUAGCAACUUGUUGUUCAUCUUGUUGUUCUUGUGUUGGUUGGAAACUAAGGGUUUAGAGGUGUAGUGACAAGAAAAAUGGUAAGGGUGAUUUAUUGAAUAUAUAUAGCUGAAUUUUUUUGCAUAUGAUUGAGUUAGUAAUGAAGUAAUAUAUCCUUGUGUGUUAGGUUAGUAGAAGGUAGAGAAGGAGUUAUUGGUUAAGGUAAAUUAUUUUUUUGCUUAAAGUAUGAAAAGAGUUGUUGAUAGUGUCGGUUGUGCUAGAAAAGUAAAGGUUAUUGGUGAAAGUACUUAGUGGAUGAAUGCUAUUAAUUUAGGCUUCCUUGAGGUUGCAAGAGGGAGUUUAGUUGAAACUUAUAGAGCUAUGAAAGAAGUUUGGGCGUAUAGAUAGGAAAAUAGUAAUAAUGUGUAGAAGGAAGAUGUGUUAAUGGAUUGCAAAUAAGAUAGGCCAUAUGAUUAUGAUCGAUUAUUGUUGUUAUGAGAUUCUAGUGGGCUAGUGUUUCUCGAUGUCUUAUUCUAUAGCUUCCUAGUGAGAAUUAUAUGUAAGGUGGGUUAUUAUAUAAGAUUAAGGUUGACCAUGCCUAUUAUAUGAAUUUACCCCCUUGGCCCUCUUUUCUUUAGUGGUUACAAACCAGUACUUCAUAUGAAAAGGUAUGAAGUGGAUCUUAAGCUAAUAUAGUGGUGUCAUGGAGGGGAUUGUGAUUGUAGAUAGUAGUUAAAUGAAAUGAGUAUUUGGAGUUGAUUUCUCAAUUUGAUGGACUGGUAUAUUAUGUUGCGUUCUUUACUUUAUUUGUGGUAGAUGUUUGAUGCUAGAUUAUAGGCUUGAAUUGUAGAUGUAGAAUAUGAUGGUAAGAAUAGUAUCUUAUGAUUAAUGAUGUAUGUUUUAUGGGAAUGAAUUACUAGGCUUGAUAUGAUUUGUGAAAAAGCCCAGGUUAAUACUUGAUAAAAAGUUUAAGUGGUAAUUGUGAGAUAUAUGUAUAUAUGAGGACUAGUGUUAAAAUGAUGAUUUUUGGGUGAGUCAUAAAGUGGAUAAGGGCGUAAGUAUAUAAGCAUAAGUUGCACCCCCUCCCCGGUAGUAUGACAUUACUCGUUAGGUAAUAUUUUAUGAUAUAAGUUAUACGAUUAACGGUCUAAUGUUAGAAAGUUAGUAGUGGAGAGUGGAUUUUUAUGUGAUAAGGAGUGAGGUAGUAUAUGCUCUUGGGACUACGAGUUGUGAGUUGAUGAUGAUAGAGGAUAGUGAAAAGUAAUGCCCUCAGAGUAUACUUAAAAAGAAAAAGUGAAGCAUUUAUGUGUAUAAGUGUUUUGCGUACCUAGUUUCUAUUCUUGAAAAUUAUGGUAUGGAGAAGUUUGGGAAGUUAUGGUAUAGCAUUAUUUAGAGUUGAAUUGAGAAAAUAUGAGUGGGCAAUAUGCCCCUUUGUUAUAGUUUUACAAAGUUUGUUAAUUUGUAAGUUAUGUGAUUAGAGGUGUAAUGCUAGUAUUCUAAGGAGUUGAAGAAGAGGUGUUGAGUGAUUCAAAGCAUAGACGCCCAUGCCCAUAAUGAUGUUAGUCAUGAGUUAUGAUUUUGGAGUUAUAGGAAAUCAUGAUUAGUAUCCUUGAGGAGGAAAUGUCCCAGAGAGGAUUUAGUGUCUUUAUAUUAAAAAAAUGAAUGAGAAGAGUUGUAUUCAUGUAUAUGUCGAUAUCCCUUGGUGAUAAGGAGUGUGAAAGCGUACACUCAUGGGAGUGGGGGUUGUAGAGUGAUCGCUAUAGCGAAAGUUAAUAGUAACAUUUACAGAAAACCAAGGCCUUCGGGGUAUAGAUCAUUAGGGAGAAUUAGAGUUUAAGUAUAUGGUGAUGUCUCUUUUAUGUUGAGAGUUAUGACUUUGAUCUAAGGGGGAGAUAGUGAGUUAAGGUAGUUUUUCAAAUUUUCUCAUUGUGACAAGUUAAUGAAGAGUCAUGAUGAACCUACUCCUAUUCAAGAAUAUUCCUCCUAUUUCAGUUUAGGAGUUCAUUCUACCAAGGUCUUAUGAAUUCAACUCCUACCAAUAUCUAAGGUUUGAGUUCUCUAUGUAUGUCAUGCCUUAACCCAACGUCCAAACAAGAAGAAAUAAUGUUCCUCAGUGACCUAAUACAUAUCCAAGUCAUAUGUUAUGUUGCUCAUGAUCCAAACCUAUGUCUCACAACAUGCUUGGUCAUAAGGAAAUUUGUUCCUGUAUGUCACUGAAUCAUUUUAUGUUGGAAUUAGCCAAAGUGGUAAAGUUGUGCGAACUUAGUACUAUUUCAGAUCUGAAAAUGAGAAGCAAUAGCUUCAAGUAUUCACCUUUGUCUCAAUCAUUGACUUUAUGAAUUCGACCUUUAUGUUAUACAAAUCAUAAGAUUUGUGCCCCCAUAUUUCUCACCGUCGUCUGUCCUAAGAAUCAUGUUGUGUUGUGGUUGUGCCGAACGACUCUAUGCUUACGAUUCAAACACCUGAUAUCUGAAGCACCCUGUCUCUCUUCUAUUGUAUCUUUACUUUAUGUCCCUCCUUGAGUAAUAUUAAAAGUAUAAGCUAUGAAUUGAUAAGUGUUACUUCCAUUCAUGAUGUUUAUGCUCGGGUCCCUUAAUGACCUUCUGUAUGGUAGUAUGAUGGUGGUUGUGGAAGCGUGGUGAUGUGUUAUGUAGAGGAGUAGAUGUUCUUAAAAAAAAUUGGUGUGAAUUCUCGGGAUAAGGUUAUAGGUGAAAGGGGAAAAGAAGGAGAUGAACUUUUGUUAUGUGGAAAAAGUCAGGAAGGAGAUAUAUGAAGAAAAUUUUUGUGAAUGUGUUUGAAUUUGCUGAUCUUAGUGGGGGGAAAUCCAUGAAGUGGGUGUAGUAAUGAUAGGCUUGAAUGUUGAGAUUGAUAAAAACUCAACCCAUGUACUAUGCGGUUAGUAUUCCUUAAAUUAAAACCCGAAGGUGUUUGACGAUACUGAUAAGGUAAGGUAACGUUCUUAAUGGGAUGUAAAGUACAAGGUCCUAUAGCUUAAGUUAGCACCUUUUUACUCUAAGUUAGGCUUCAAUAUAGCAAUACUAAGUAGUGGGACUCAAAUUCUUGUGGCUAGAAGUGUGGUCAGGGAUUUGUAAGUUGAAAAGUGUGAAGUAUGUAAUUUAUUGUUUGGGGCGUAGACAAAUAGUGUCUACAAGUUUAAGUAUUUUCAUUGUAUCUUGUAAGAUGGAGAAUGUUCAUAUUCGUAUGCCCCACGAGAAUCUUAUCUCAUGUAUUGUACCAAUCUUAACAUGGUCUAUGAUCAUCAAAUAAACCCCUACCAUGUGUGGUGCUGAUGAUGAUUCAUAGAACUCAUGUGCAAGAUCAUCCCUAUGUAAAUUCUCAUUGCCUCAUAUUUCGUGCUUUCACGUUUCGUUAGGGGUUAUCAUGAAGCUUGUUUGAUUCCUUUGCAUAUUUUAUCGAGGGAAAAUGUUCAAUGUGAGACUGCGCUCUUUAUUCAACACUCUUAGAGCUUCAAAAGGUCUCUACCCAUCAUUCGGGGACGAAUGAUCCCAAAGGGGAGAUAAUGUAACACCCCGCAUUUUUUUCGGACUAGAGAUCGAAGUGUCGUUCAUACACGUAUUGACUCGAACUAGAUGAAUCUUUGUUAAUAUAUGUGUGAUGAUAAAUCCUACAGUGUGGGAAUACCUUUGGAUAAGAAUUGAGGUCACAAAAAUCCCCUAACUCAAAGACGAGUUGAAAACAAUUCCAUUGAGUAUGUUUUAGUGGACACUGCAACUUAGGUCAAAUUUCGUCAAGCAUAACUUCUGUUAUAUAAUGAAAUGAGUGGCCUUCUAUAUAUCAAAUGAAAGGUCUUUGAGUCCUCUUUCCAAUGCAAUUAAUUUCGUCAAAAUCCAACAUCAGAAGAAAAAGUUAUACCCAAUUUACUUCAGCAUGUCAGUUUGUCAAACCGAGGGACUGCUGCGGCGUUUUUGAUUUACUUGGGGGUAUUUUGGUAUUUUUCGUCAUCCCAAACUUCUUCCACACGAUUUAAAUCAUCCAAAAUACUCUAUAAUCCAUUUCUUUUAUCAGUUUUAAUAUCUCAAUUUCUCUUCUCUCUCAAGAGUAAAAUGGAAACUAGGCUUUCUUUCAAGAUGAAGAAUCAAUCUCGUAAGUCCAAGAUUUCUAAAGAACAAAUCAAGAUUUGAGUUCUACUCUUCAAACCUUGUAAUCUAAGGUAUGUGGAGUUUUCCUAAAUUUACAUGGGCAUGGUAAAUUCUUAUUAAUCAUGUUAAAGGUUUAGAAAUUAUGAAUUUACAAAAAGGGGGUUUUAGAUUUAUAAUUAUAUUCAUGCUUUUAAAGUUUUUGAUGAUAUUAAUUUGGUCUUGAGGCCUUUCCCCCAAAUAUGAUUUAUAACCAUGUUUAAGUAGAUAUAUGUAUGAGUUUGAUGAGUUUGAAUUAUGAAUUGAGAGCAUGAACUAUUUGAAAUCCCUCCCUUAUUUACAAGUCCCUUAACUUCUUACGAUAUGAUGUAUUCGAAAUGUGAUAUUGGAAAUAUAAUUCAAUAUAAAAUCCUUGACUUUGUUUAUAACUUGAUUAUGAUUUUUGAAUUGAAGAGAGAGGGUUUUACAUGUUGGUAAAUGCUGAAUAUAUAUAUAUGUGUGUGUGUGUGUGUUUGGUAAAGGUUUAUUUAUGGUGUCCUUAUCUAAAGUUUUAGGGAUCUAGAGAAGGUGGAGCUGGGUUAGUUAGAGAAGACAAUUUUAGGCAUGGGGUAUUACAUGAUAAAACUCAGAACAGGAUACAGAUUUCAUUUUAGAUUUCAGAUUUUGAAUUCAAAAAGAUGCAUGUAUAGAAUGGGUUAAAAACUGGGCACUAAGAGAGUUAGGUGGUUACUCGAAGAAGGCACGAGUCGUAUGAUUCAUUGUCCGAAACUGUGUUUUGCCGAUACGAAUAUAUUAUUAUACGCUGGCCUAGUGUCCUGGGGCGUAUCAGAUUCAGAUACUUCAACCCUUGCGGCAAACUUGGGUUGGGGGCUUGGCCGUCGAGUUAAUGCCGGAUCUCAUAUUUUCCAUGGAAAACUUUCAAAUAUGUAAGGUGUACCACUUACCUCAGAAGUAAAAAAAUAAAGAAUGAUUUUACAUCUACAGAUUUGCAUUGAAUGAUUAUUUUAAGUUACCCAUGUGUUUAAAAUUAUUUCUUGCUUAACAUUUUUAUGAAAUGCUCUCACCUGUGUUGUAUAUAAAAGUACAUUAUUUUGUAUUACUCUACGUACCAGUACAUCUGUAUUGACCUCCCUUCCAUCUCAGGAUCUAAGGCACAGGCUCGGGGUCCAGUUCAGCAAUAGGUUUGAGUGCGUCGGAAGUUGUAAUUGGUGAGCCUCCCUUAUUUCGAAAGGCCUGUAUUAGAACUUAUUAUUGUUAUUUCAUUUUGAUUCAUGGUCCGAUUGAGGGCUUAUCCCAGAUUUUAGACAAAUGUCAUUUUCAGUUGUUAGAGAUUUCGCAGACUGAUGUUAGACGUUGUUUAGAGGUUUAUGUUUUCCAUUCCAGAUUGUUCAAUUGAAUUAUGAUAUCGACCAUGAUUCCGUUUUAUUUUGUAUUUCCGCAGUUCCUCUUUGUAAAUAAAUGGUGUAUAUGAUUGCAAGUUAGAAGGGCUCUUGGGCCUUCAUGGUUAAGGAUCCCCGUCACGGUCAGGACCCCGUUUUGGAUCGUGACAUUAAUACACUAACUAUUAGCCCAUUUUUUAUCCAUUUAAAAUCCGACACCGAUCCAUCUUCAAAUCAAUUUUUGUCAGACAUUUGAGUAGUACAAAUUCUUACUAUAUUUGUUUAAAAAAAAAAAGAUUUGUUUAUAGGUGCAAUUGAAUUUCUCUUGAAAAUGAGUGAAACUUAUGUUCAUUGUGUUGUAUUGCUAAUAGGAGCACAACACCUUCUAUACAAGCUUCGUAGGUUUGAGAAAUUGGAUGAAUUGGAUCCUAUAUAUUAAACUCGAGAAAUUGAUGCUCGAAAAAAAAUAAAGAAGAAGAAAAAGAGGAAGGCGGAGGAAGAGGAGGAGGCGGCAACGAUGAUCAUGCUCCCAACAAGAAUAUUAAAGAUGUAAAUCAAGCAAACACCGGAGAUUAAGCACAACCAUCAUUUCUUGUCUUUCUUAUCAUCAGCAGACCUAAACAUUGUGAAUAUUUUAUUAAGUAUGAUUUAAUGAAGAACAACCCUCCUCAAUUUUUUCGCCUAUUUCGAAUCCCCCAUUGCCAAUCCAAAGAAAGAAAGCAAAUUCAUUGCUGGUAGCAGGAAAAGCAAUUAAACUACAGCAAGCAAAACAAUAUUAUUAGUAUGAACAUGGAAACUAACAACAACAACGGAUUAAAUGGGGUGAUUUUCUAUGUGGAUGCUGAUGUUGAUUGGUCAUGCGGCCUUUUAUGUCUACAUGGCAUGUUUGGUGUAUUUUCGUUGUUUUGUGUAUUUUCGUUAGAAAGAGGGAUAUUUUUUAGUCAAAAAAUUAACGGGGGAUAUUUUUACUUCAUUUUUGGAUAAUGCAGAAUUAUUUUUGGCCCUUUUUUGUAUAAUAUCAAACAAUUUUUUUUUUAUCUUUUAUUUAUCUUUAUGUAUAGUAACUAUACAUAGCGAAUUUAUACAUAAAAUAUGGGACAGGUGAAUCCUUAAAUUUUUUUGUAAACAUAGGUAUUUUAUGUUAUAUUUCUUUUAAAUUGAUAUAAUAUUAUCUGCAAUAAUACUAUUAUGAUACUAUUAUCAUAAGUAGGCAAAAUAGUACAUUUAAUUAAAUAUUGAGUUAUUUAAGGAUCAACUCUUACUUAAAACUUCAUGGGUGUUAAAACGAAUGAACUACUUUUAUUUUUAGUUAGUUUCAAAACAAAUGAUUUUUUCCUUUUUCUACAACACUUCAGUUUCAACUUUUCAUGUGGCAUAUUUAAGAUCACAAGUUUUAAGAACAUUUUAAUAUAAUUGACAUAACUUUAGUUUAAAAUUACAUGAUUCAAAAGUCUUCUUUAUUUUCUUAAAUUUCGAGUCAAAUCAAAACAAGUCAUUCUUUUUAAAACAAAAGAAAUACUUUUUGUGUAGUUACUUGAGAAAAUUGAAGGAAAGGUGUCAUUUAAGUCUUGAAUGAAGGAUUGGUGACAUUGACCAACUUAAAAGGUCAAACAUCAUUAGAAAACUUGAUUAAGUUAAUUGUGGACUUGAUUAAUAUUUUUAAAACUUUUUAAUCUUUUGAAAAAUACAAAUCAACCCAACCCACACCCCUCUUCAAUCCAAAUCAAACACUCUUUNNNNNNNNNNNNNNNNNNNNNNNNNNNNNNNNNNNNNNNNNNNNNNNNNNNNNNNNNNNNNNNNNNNNNNCUGUAAAAUUCCUCCCUUCAACCUCUGACGAUAAAUAGUCGGGCGAGUUUCUUUUCGACUUUCAACCGCCAAUCGACGUGAAGACUUCUCCGGAGACAACAACUUCGCGUUCUUCGUUGUCGCAUUUCCUUUUUAACAGGUAAAAAAUUAUGAAAAAACAGAGGAACUUAAGUGAACUACUCUUCUAGUAUUGAAAUGUGGACUGAAUAAAAUCCUAAUUUCUGGUAUUUUUUCUUCUUUUUAUCGUACUGUUAAUUCAAAUUUGUUGGUGAUUUUUGGCCACAGUUGAUGUUCUUAGUAUGUGUGUGUGAUGUGUUGGUGUUGCUGGGUUGAUUUGUUGUUUGUCUUGGUAAAAAUGGUAUUGCAACAGAUGAAACAUCUGAUGUAGCAGAUGAAACAUCUGAUGCAACAGAUGGAAAUCUGAUGCAACUAUGACAAUCUGAUGCAACAGGUGAACAAUCUAACAGAUCAUUCACCUGUUGCGAUAGACGACUCUUCUGUUUGGAAGAAAUCUAAACAAUAUUAAUCCAACAGAUAACUGAUCAGUGUUCUAUUUUUAUUCUUUCAAACGGUUUACUCUUUAUUUUACAACAGAUUAUUGAUUGUUUUUAUUCUUUCCAACAGUUUACUCAUCCAUUCCAACAGGUCGAUUAUAUGUUACAACAGAUAAAAUACCUGGUGCAACAGAUUAGUGAUCUGUUUUUAUGGUUUCCAACGGAUUACUCAUCCGUUGCAAUAGGUUGGUUAUAUGUUGCAACCGAUAAACUACCUGGUGCAACAGAUUAGUGAUCCGAUUUUAUCUUUCUAACGGUUUACUCAUCUGUUGUAACAGGUCGGUUAUAUGUUGCAAUAGAUAACAUACCUGGUGCAAUAGAUUAGUGAUUUGUUUUUAUGGUUUCCAACGGAUUACUCAUCCGUUGCAAUGGGUCGGUUAUAUGUUGCAUCAGAUAAAAUACCAGGCACAACAAAUUAGUAAUCUGUUUUUAUGGUUUCCAUGGGUUACUCAUCCGUUGCAAUGGGUCGGUUAUAUGUUGUAUCAGAUAAAAUACCAGUGCAAUGGAUUAGUGAUCUAUAUGGUUUCCACGGAUUACUCAUCCAUUGCAAUAGGUUGGUUAUAUGAUGCAACAGAUAACAUACCUGGUGCAACAGAUUAGUUGUCUGUUGGAACUGUUAUAUUACUGUUAUACAUUAAUCAACUAUAAUCUAUGUUAUGUUCCUGUUAAUUUAAGAUACUAUGGCUCCUAAAAGAAAAGAAAUUGAAUCAAGUCCAAGUAAAGAAACAAUUACAGAAGCUCGGCUACAUCCAUCACUCUAUGAGCUUGCUUUACAAGCGUUAUCUGAAUCAGGAGCAGAAGAUAAUGAACACAGAGAGGAGGAAUCUUUCAAAAGAGAUGAUCCAAAUGCUAAUAGCCCUUUCGCCGAAGUGUUGGUCAAAACCUUCAGCAUUGAUCAUUAUCCUAUGAGAAUGCAGUGUGAUGGUGCCACAGAUUUAAUGGGUGAUCUCAUGGUUAAGUCAGUCAUGGAAAAAUCUUUCGACGCCUUCAAAAAAUACUUCGAGAACAAAAAUUGGAUUCUUAUUUUAGGGAAAGCUGCUUUGGGCAAUAUCUUGAUUUGCUGGAGGACAACAAUGCUCGUUUCUAGAUGAAAUGGUAUAUGAUCUUCUCAAGAGCAGGUUUAUGUAAAACAACAAAGAUAAGAUGGAUGAGGUGUGGAUAAAUUACUGUGGUAUGCCUGUUUGUUUUGGUUGGAAGGAGAUUGUCAUAGUUACCAAACUAAAAUAUUAUCCUCCUUCUCCUUCUCAAGUUAUACCUACUCUGACCCAAAAAAAGCACCCCGCACACCCAAAAAAGGAAAAAGCAAGUCGAGUGAUCGUGAUGACUUGGUGUCCAUUGUUGAUCCAAGCUUCAAAAAAAAAAAUUGAUAGAAGCGUUGAAAGGUAAAGGACUUUCAAAGAAGCACAAGCAAUCAUUGUGCUUGGUUUGGUUUGUACAUAAUGUUCUUUGGGCGAGAAACGUUAUGUAACAACCCAAAAUCACCUCCUGGGACGUCACACGGUGCUUAAAGGUACAAGUAGCCCCAAGCUAAGCCUUUGAUCCUGUCACUACAUAUAAUAACUCAUUUCAAGAAGAAAUCAAUGAAAUACUGGCACUGUCAUAUCAAAUAAAAGGAAAUACAAAGAUAAUACUCUGUCCAAACGACCACAAUACUGGAAAUCUCGACACAACAACAAUCUGAUAACUAGUCUGACAACGCCUCUACUACUCCAUGAACAAAAGAGCCGUUGGGACAGGUCCCCAACUGACUCAAACUGAACUGAAAGUAAUAACAUAAAUGCUCAAGUACUGACAUAUCUAAAGAUAGGCCCUCGAACCAUGAGGACUCACCACUGGAGAAAUAUAGACAAAGGUACUCGAGAAUCGCUGACGAGGCUGGGACUGAGCACCUGAACCCACAUUAUAAGACAAUGUAGCACAUAGACAUAUAUGUGGAUCAACACUUGGGAAUGUACUAAGUAUAUGGGGGUGUAUGCAUUUACAUAAAACCAUAGCAAUACUCUUUAAUCAAUCAUACAUGCAUAGCAAUACUCUUUAAUCAAUCAUACAUGCAAUUAGGAAUGACUCACAUGGCUUGAAUAAGGCAAGAUGUAAAGCUCAUAAAUCAUGUAGAACUCAGCAUAAGACACUAUCUCAUUCAAGGGAUCAACAGGCUGGGGUUUCUCAUUAUCAUAUCUAUGGGCAUCCGCUCUUCGAAGAGGCAUUUUCUGAAAUAGAAGAGCAUGAAUUAUUAGAUGAGAGGGACAACUGUAGGCACGACCGAAUCUAAAAGAAAGAAACAAAUUUUUUCUAAAACAUCUUAUAGCCUCUUGCUCAUAGAUGUGGCGUGCUACACACCGAUGAUCAAGACUCUACUCAACGUUGCUUGUCAGACUCCAUAAGACUCCUUUAAAACCUUAGGCUCUGAUACUAAGUUUGUAAUGACCCAAAAUCAUCCCCCGGGAUGUCACAUGGUGCUUAAGGCUACAAGUAGCCCCAAGCUAACCCUUUGAGCUUGUCACUACAUAUAAUAGCUCAUUUCAAGAAGAAAUCAAUGAAACACUGGCACUGUCAUAUCAAAUAAAAGGAAAUACAAAAAUAAUACUUGGUCCAAAUGACCACAAUACUGGAAAUCUUGACACAACAACAAACUGAUAACAAGUCUGACAACACCUCUACUACUCCAUAAAUAAGAGAGCCGUUGGGAUAGGUCCCCAACUAACUCAAACUGAAUUGAAAGUAAUAACAUAAACACUCAAGUACUGAAAUAUCUGAAGAUAGGCCCUCGAACCAUAAGGACUCACCACUAGAGAAAUAUAGACAAAGGUACUCGGGAAUCAUUGAUGAGGCUGAGACUGAGCACCUGAACCUAUAUUAUAAGAUAAUGUAACACAUAGACGUAUAUGUGGAUCAACACUUGAGAAUGUACUGAGUAUAUGGGGGUGUAUGCAUUUACAUAAAACCAUAUCAAUACUCUUUAAUCAAUCAUUCAUGCAAUUAGGAACGACUCACAUAGCUUGAAUAAGGCAAGAUGCAAAGCUUAUAAAUCAUGUAGAAUGAAGCAUGCAACACAAAUCUCGUACGUCAUUAUACUUUAGCUUUAAAAUCUGGAUUCUUCUGUUAUUCUCAUUACUCAAAGACUAAAGAAAGCUUUAAACCAUACUUUCAAGUCAUGCAUAUAUCUCAUGGAGAUUAAAACUUCUUUAAUGCUCAAGAAUUUAUAACUCUUUUGAACUCAAACACUUGGAACUCGGAAUCGUAUAACUUUGGUUUAAGAAAACCGGUGAUCAACUCGUAUUAGUAGAGAAAACUACUUCCUUCUUUGGAAAAUACUCAAAAAGUAAUUCAUUCAUUUUGGAAAAUAUCUCAUCUCAAAGCUUUAGGGAAAAUAUUCUCUCUCAAUGAAAAAUACUUUAGUCUUAGGAAAAAUGACAUAUCAAGGGAGGUUCUGUUAAUCGAAAUAAACCAUACGAGCUACAUGGAGUCCAACGUCUUGUCCUCCUAAGAAAGAAACCUCACAUUGGGGAGAGGCGUCAUACUCUUUCCAAGGAGUAUAACCUAAACUCAGUGAUCACUUAUAUCGGCCUCGGGCCCAAUCAUCUCGACCUCAGGCCCAAAAUCUCAAACCUAUGGUGUCACGUAGUUCUGGGGUAAGAAACCGUAGUAACUUACCCAACUCAGUACUAAAUACUACUCCCUUUAGUUUAUCUCGCUCAUCUCAUGGAAAUUCGCUUUCAAAAAUAAUCUCAUGGUUCAUAAGAACCCAACAAUCAAGUCUGUAAUCUCAUGUAACAAAGUGGAUUUCAAAGCUCUAUGGCCAUUAGGUCAAAACAUUUCUCAAUAAUCUUGGGAAUACUCAAAUUAUGGGUGCUUAUAGCACAAGAGUUCAUAAAAUUGCAAGUAUCAAGUAGGGCUUAAUGACCCAUAAUUCAAUCUCAAGUUAAAACUCAUCAAUAUGCAUAUAAGAUAGCAUAUAGAUUCAUAAAUCAUAUAGAAAUCUGGAAUUUAUAGCAAUUUAGCUCAAAAUCUCGACAUACUCAUAUACUUCAAUAUCUUAAAUAUUGCAACUAUUAACUUUUCACGGAAUAAAAUCAUAGGGUAUAAACCCAGCUUCAAUUUCUCAAGAAAACAUGUAAAAAUUAUGCCAUUAGACUCUCAAUUCAUGGGAAACAUCAAAAGCAUGCAACCAAUAACAAUGGGUGAAACCCCCUAAUUUAAUUUCACGUAAAAUCUCAUAAGUUGCAGAAAAUUGUAGUUUAAAUAAGCCUUUGGGCACAAGGUGAAAGGAUUACCCUUGUUCAAAACCUCACAUACCUUAGAUUAUGAAAUUGGAUGAAAAUUCUUGCUCUAAACUCUUUUUCCUACUCUUUGAGAGAGGUUUCUUGCAACCUUGGACUUGAAAAACUCAAAUCUCAACUCAAUUUGUGGAAUCUAUGGUGAUUUCUUGAAUUUCUUGGAGAAGGGUUUUAGAUUUGAUCUUGAGGGAGAAACUCUAGCUCUCUUGUGUUUUGGAUGAUGAAUGAAGCCAUUUGCUUCAUUUAGAAUAUAUCUGGUUGAUAAAAGAGUUAAAAGAUAGAAAAUCCCUUUUUAAAAUGAGUUAAAAUACUGAAUGGGGCGGCGACGGUCCGUCGCAAGUCUGACGGUUCGUCGGAUCAUCCAUCGUACAUUGGCUAGAGAAAGAACAUACUGUCUCGAUGCGAUGGUCUAUCGCAAACUCGAUGGUCCAUCAGAUCGUCCGUUGGACGUUGGCCAAGAUGAGGCCACACUACCUCGAUGCAAUGGUCUGUCGUAGCCUUGACGAUUCGUCGUCCUAGCCAUCGCACUUAGCCCAAAAAAGAGAGUUACUGGCUUGGUUACGACGGUCCGAGUGACGGUCCAUCGCAGACUGGACAGUCCGUUAGAUCUUCCAUCGCACCUGGGCGGUUCCAACAACUCACAGUAAAAUGACCUUAACUUCUCACCCAAUACCGAAUUUGGAAGAAGUUGGUAUCGUUGGAAAGCUAAUUCAAUUCUCCACAUGACAAAAAGUCAAAUUUAAUAAAAUUCUAUAUGGUUUAAACACCAAUCACCUGGGAAGUCACUUCUCAAUCUUUUAGGGACAGAAUUACACUUCACUUGACACGCUCUAAGGAUCAAAAUACGAGAAAACUUUACGGGGUCCUACACGUUAACAACAACAUAAGCCUCGGUUUAAUAAAUCUCUUCGAGGAUAUUAAGGCAUUUAAUAGCUAUUCUUGGGGUUAUGAAAACUUCAAAAUGAUUGUCGAAUAUGUGUUGACUCCAUUAACACCAAAAACAGUCAACUUAUAUGGCUUUCGAUGGGCCUUCAUGGUAAAUAUUUCUUUUAUCAUGAUAUGAUUCAUCAUUUUUUUAUUCAAUAAUGCUUUUGAUUUAUUGGCAUUAUGUUAUAGGCUUGGACAUUUGAAGUCAUUCCUUAUUUGAGACAACAAGUGAACUACCUUGAAGAAGUUUCCUAUCCAAGAAUUCUGAGAUGGUUGUUGGCUAAAACAGAUAAAAAUGCUAAAUUUCUUAAUCUUUUCAAUCCCCCCAAGAAAGCAGUAAGUCCAAUUCUAAUCAAGUUUUUGUUUUAAGUAAUGAUUAAAUAAUUUCAUCAUCAUUCUUAAUAUAUGUACCGAUUUAUUUUAGAUUUUCUAUCCAUGGCUUGUUCCGACCAACUAAGAGUUAAAGAUGCCAUUUUUUCUUACUUUACGGUCUAUGCAAACUUUAUUGGACCCUAAGGUUGUUUAUGGAAUAAAAUGGAAUUGUUUAGAGCCACAACCAUCACAAGGAAAAUAAUUUUGGAGGGUGGGACUAAUGAUGAUCCUCUUGCAGUUUUUGAAACAACAAGCCAUUAUGAUUAUGAUCAUAAUGGUUGUACAGAUUUUUCUCCAGAUUUUGCCACAUCUAGUGAAUGUUCUGCAUACAAAUGUCAAGAAUCCAAGGCGAAAAAUGGUGGAGUGAUUAAUUCUAUUAAUACACUAACUACUUCUGUAAAUAAAAUGACAUCUAAGAGGGGUGUCAUUCCAUCAAAGAGGAUUUCAUAUCCAGACACUCCACUAGAGAUCAAGGCAGCUAAGAGGAGAAGGAAAGACAUUUCCAAGGCAUCAUCAAGCAUCAAAAAAGGAAAGAUUGCAAUGCCUCUGUCUUUGUCUUGCACCGAUGUUCAGUGUGCAAGGGCCACAGGAGAGCAACAUGAGCUGAAAAAGGUGAAUGCACAUCAUCUGUUCCAAAAAACAAACAGGCACAUAUCUGUUUCAAUAGAUUAUACAUCUGCUGAAAAUUAUCAAACAUAUAUAUACAACUGUUGCAACUAUUGUCUAACUUGUUGCAUUAGAUUCGUUAUCUGUCUCAACAGAUAAGUCUUAUGUUGCAACAGAUGAGUUAUCUGUUCGAAAUUAUCAUACUACUCUGAUUUACCUAUUUGAAUUUAUCCCAACAGAUAAUCCAUCUAAUGCAACAUAAGACUCAUCAAUUGCAAUAGAUGGACAAUCUGUUGUAUAUCUCUACUUAGCAUUGAUAAUUCUGGCUUUUCAGGUGGAUGUGAUAAUCCCUCAACUGCUUUCAAAGAAGAAGAAAAAGUGGAGCCUGUCAAUUUGAGAAAACAGAAGAAUUACCUGUUUGAAGGGUUCAACAUAUCAAAUGAGGCUGUAAAAAAACUCACAGUUAAUCAACGACUAUUCAGAAUGGAUUGUCGAUGGGUUAUUAAGCAUCAUGUCGGCAAGUACAUAAAUCAAUUUGAUAGAUAUUGGUUUAUACAAUUCUUGUUGUAAGAACUUGGCAUUAACACAUAUAAAUCAUCAUGUAGAAAAUAAAAUGACGAGCGCUACAAAGUGAAGAAAUUGAGUCUUGGUUUUGAUAUGUUUGACUUUGUUGUUGCACAUCCCGAAAUAAAGAAUUGGUUCUAUUUGAUGUCACAGCCCCAAACUUGCUGGAAUAAGAGGUUAAAAUGCCUUAAAUAUUACUAUUAAUUAAUACUUUAUUUAAUUACAUUUGCUUAUUGAUUUUUUUGUCACGUAAUCCAAGAUAUUUGAUAAUAUGUGCAACACAUCGAUGUCAUUUUUUACUACCUACGAAAGAAGGCCAAGUUGCAAACACAAGAAUAAUACAGAUACACGAAAGGUAGUUAUUUAUACAAAGUUUACAUCAAUAAUGUCUACGAUGGUAUUGUCAAUAAUAGCCGAAAGUUUCCCGAAAAGUGGAAUGCUUAAUCAACAUCAUCAAAGAUUCUAGCAUUUCGACUGGCUUACCUUGGCAUUUGAUCGACGAAGUGUACAUCCCAAUCAAUUGUACUGAUGAAUUCCAUUGGGUGUUGGAUGUCGUCAUUCUAAAAGAGAGGCGCAUCCAAGUUUAUGACUCGAUGUCACGAAGGAGAUAUUUCGGGACGUUGUCUGAGAUAUAAAAGUUGGCCAAAAUAUUACCUACUUAUCUUGAUAUGAGUGGCUUUUUGGACCAAAAGGUUUGCACUGAUUGGUCGACAAUUGAAGUAUACCGGGAUAAAAUGGCUAAUCCAUUUGAUGUACAAUAUGUUGAAGGAAUUGCUCAACAAACCAUUGGUAGCCUGUAAUUUUAAGUGUCAUGAUUUAGUUUCAUUUCACAAAUUUCACAACGCUUGCAUGAACUGCAAGAUAUGGAUUAUCUAUUUUUUUUUAUAAAGUAGGGAUUGCGAUUCUUUUGUUGCCGCUUACACCGAGUAUUUGAGCGAUGGAUUACAAGUAUCAAAUGAUGGACUUGAUUCUGGAUUACUCCACAAAAGAUAUGCUGCUCUUCUAUGGAAAUACGGAGAAGCGAAAGCUCAGAAGCCGUAUGCAACCGGCGUUAAGGAUCCACGACGACCAAAGCCGAAUUCUGUAGCACCGGAUAAAUAACAACUUAUCCAUAUUGAUUAGAUCUGUAUAGCUUGAGUCCGUCAAUGUAAUAACCUAUCCUCUUUGGUUUAAUUUGAUGAUUUAUUUAUAGAGUAGAUCAUUUGUACCCAUAAUAAUUUUUUUUAUAUUUUAUUUAUUUGUUGAGUUAUUUCAUGUAAUUUUAGAAGGCUUCGAUUUAUUUUAUCUUGUCUAUGAAUAUAAAUAAUCCUUAUUUUUGAACAUGUUCCUUGAAAUGGAGUACUAGAAUCAAAUAUUGCAAAAGAUAAUACAUCUGCUGCAAUAAAUGACAUAUCUUAUCUUAUAGAUUUAGCCAUAUGUUGCAAUAUGAGAUGCAACACGUAGGUCAUCUGCUGGAAAUUAUAUAACAGGUCUUUCUACUUUUUUUAUUUGCUCCAACAGAUUACCGAUCAGUUGCAACAGAUAGAUUAUAUGUUGCAACAGAUUACCGAUCAGUUGUAACAGAUAGAUUAUAUGUUGCAACAGAUGACCAACCUAUUCCAACAGAUAAUCAAUCUGUCACAACAGGUACUGUAUCUGUUAUGACAGAUAUAAAAUUUGUUGCAUCAUGAAAAUUCAACUUGGCCAGACAUAAAAAUUAUUGCCACUACAUGUAAAGUGAAUUGGCUUGAAAUUAAAAUUUGUUAUCGUGUUCAUUUCUGUCUUUAUACAUGUUCUUUUUUAUAAACGGGCUCCAACCAUUUAGUUAGUACCCUAUAUGCCCAGACCCAUUGCAUCUUUCCCAUAACGGUGUCACACACACCGGUCAUUUAUGUGUCGGUCAGCAAACACUUGAUGUAUGCAAGUGAGUAUGGCCCACACGCUACACCAGUUAUAUUUCUUGGAGCUGGAUGUUCUUAUUUCGACCUUCAAAAUUCCUUGAUUCCUUCGCCAAGACUUCAUCUGGCAGAUGAUCCAUCAUCUUACUUUGUGUCAACAACUUAGGCAACAACUUCAAGAGUGGAUGCAUGUGGGUUAAAAACAUCUUCUCGCUGAAGACAGGUAAGUUACAGUUAUAAACCUUAAUCUUUCCCUCGUAUAGUAGUAUCUCAAUAGUGAGAAAAUGUAUGACAUAUACAUUCAUAACUGCAAAAAUUCUCUUUGCCUUGGUCCAGCUCUUGCCGUGUGAAUAUGGCCUCUUUUCUAUAACAUAUUUAAUCACUUCUUCAUCUCAUUAGAACAUAGUAACUAACUGAUCAAAUCCCGGCCAUCAAAAUCAGCUAUCUUAUAGAUUUUAGCAUACCUAUCCUUGAAAUUAUUGUAGAAGUUGAGGCCAAUUAUCCUAUCGAAAAAUCAUAAGCAUCCGGGUAUGCUAAUUGCUUGCCCCUCAUGAGGCAGAUAAUUUCAUCAACAUACUAUGGUAUAAGAAAAUAAUUUUUAAAUAGGUUAGUAAUUAUAAAGAAUAAAAAUACAGUGGAAAGAAUUCGAUGCAGAGGGUUCUCUGAUUUAGUUCACAUAUUACCCAGCUAACGCAACUUAUACAACAGAUGUAUAUUAUAUUACAACAGAAUACCAAGUUGUUGCAACAGAUUACACAUCUGCUACAUAGAUUCUUCUUCAUGGAGUAGAUUGGAAGGCUAGGUUAGCAAAAGUAAACUUACCUUGUCCUAAUACCACACGCACAUAUUUGUCAUAUUCGAGAAGUCUUUGGUGGUAAAUGAAUGCAUGGUGUAUUCUUUUUGAACCUUCAUCUUGAUGAAUACUUCCAGUUCCUUCUUCUUCUCCUUUCCAAGCACUGUGAAUAUGUCCACCUUCUUCGGUGGCCCCUAAACUUCAACAACUAUUGGAGCAGGGAGAGUUGCAUUUUUUGCUGAUUUCAGAAUGGAGAGAAUUUGUCUAAUUUUUCUUAUCUUCCUCCUAAACUCCACUGUAGGAGUGUAUGGCUCCCGUACCUCAUUGGAUGGUAUGACACCCCUUCUGGAUUUCAACUCCUCGGCAGCUUCACAAUAGCCUCUAGCUUUUCAAGGAUUUUAUCCUCUCUGUCCUUUCCCACUUGGCAUUUUCAAUGAGAACAUAAGGGUGAGGAGGGGUGAGAGGGACCACUGUAAGGGUGGGAGGGACCGGUGUAGGGGUGAGAGGGAGGACCUGUGCAAGGGGUGUUUUCAAACAUAUUUAUUUUUUACUAAGCAACAACAUGUUCAUAAUCAUGAAUGGAAGCAGCAGCAGGAUGGCUUCCACUUUCACAAACAACUCCACCAGCAACAACCCCAGAAGAAGCACCCAGAUCUGUUGCAGUUUGACGUUGUUCGUGAAGAGCUUCAACAUUAGGCUGACCUUGCCUAACUGCUCUUCUUAUGGAUGUUGCUCCAUAUAAUUCCUUCUUUAUUAACUCCUUCGUUGGGUCAUAUUUUGUAUCAACAAGACCCAGAGUAAGAAAAGAAGUCAUACCCAUCUCAUCAAUGGUAGGCACAAUCCAAGGAUGCACAACCUAUAAAAAAAGACAAGAGGAAUUUAAAUCAUAUAAUAAUAAUAAUUUGCAGUCAGUUGGGUUACAUGGAUGUUAACACAACCAACUUAUGCAAUAGAUGAUCUAGCUACCACAACAGCUGAUCUAUAUGUUGAAACAAAUAGAUAAUAUAUUACAUUAGAUUACCCAUUUGUUGCAUAAUUUGCAGUAGAUGGGUAAUCUGUUGAGUAAGGUUCAAAGAAUCAGAGCAAUAGAUGGUUAAUCUGUUGUGAAAUAUGGAUCGUUUGUCACAACAAAUUACACAUCUGUUGCACCAGUUGCAGUUGACGGGUAAUUUGUUGUAACAGAUGACCCAUCUGUCGCAACAGAUAAAACAACUAUUUUAAUAUCUUUCUUUGAGGAAAAUUAUUAUAGUUCAAAGAAGACGUACUGUAUCAUCCGUAGGGUUAAAGAGAUCAACCUCAUUAAUAUUUUUUUACUGCUCUUUCCUGCAGCCAACCACCUAAGGAUCCUUGGAUAAGAAACCUUAUCCAGGUAAUCCUUUAAAUGCUUUCGGAGGGGAGGAAUGACUUUACAUGCCCAAGACUAAAAAUUGUAAACAGGAAGCAAGCAAAAAAAAAGUUAUAACUAUAUUCAAUAAAAAUUACUGAAUGAGUAAAAAUAGUGAUCAAUUUUACCAUGAAAUCCCAAGGAAAGCCGUAUAAUGUGGUCGUCUUUGCCUUUAGCUUUUUCAGUAAAUAUUUGACAUUCAAGUAGUAGUUGUCAUAUCCCCAAGGAUAAUCGUUGAAUUUCCCAAAAUCAUCAGCAAACGUCAACAAAUCUUGUUCCAACAAUGCCCAACAACCCAUCUUUUUUUACCCUGUGUUUGUUGGACCCUUUGUGGGGUGUUUUCUUGAUGAUAGGUUCUUCUGCAUGAUAGCAUCUCAAGCCCGUCACUAUGGCAAACUCUUUCAACCCAAAACAAACUGGCAUGCCACAGUAGUUGAUCCAGACUUCAUCCAUAUUUUUUCUGCCCUCCUUCGGACCUCCAUCAUCCCCCGUAUACUUGAUCCUGCGCUUGAGAAGUCCAUAUACCAUGAUCAUUGGGAAACGAAGAGGGUGGGCCCCAAACAACUCAAAAAAGUAUGCAAAGUAGCUCUUCUUAAAAAGAUCAUCUAUAUUUUCCUUCUUCAUAGAACUCUUAAGUUCGUUAAAAGGUUUCCCCAACUGACAUUUAAGUACAACAUCAUGAAAUAAUGCGUGAGGGUUACUCAUCGGCAUCGCAACUCAAAAGCCGAUAAUACUAAUAGUUUGACAAAACCAUGCUGGGAUUUCAAUGUUAUUUCAUGCUCCAUUGGUGAGAAGCAGUUAUCACUUUCCUCAGCUUCAUUUUGCCCUGACUGAGAUUGUUCUAGAAGUUUCUCCGAAUCUAGCUGUAGUCUAGCCUUUUUUGUUGGGUGGUCAGAAGUUGAUCCACUUUCAGUUUCUUUUAUUUUGGGAGACAUCUUUUAACUACAAACAAUAGAAAAACAAAAAAUACAUUGCAUUUGAUGUUUGCAUAUUUUUUUUUAAAAAAGGUGAGAUAAAUUUCAAUAAAUUAUUCUACGCCACAUAACAAAAAAAAUACUCCAACGUACAACCCAUCAGUUGGAACAGAUGGGGAACCCAAAUCUGUUUAAAGACCUAUUUAAUAUCUCUCAAUAGAUAUUCCACUUGUUGCAAUAGAAGGACAAAUUUUAAUAAAUUAUUCUACGCCACAUUACAAAAAAAAAUACUCUAACGGAUAACCCAUCAGUUGGAACAGAUGGAGAAUCUAUUUGAAGACCUAUUUAAUAUCUCCCAACAUAUUUUUCACCCGUUGCAACAGAUGGACCACCACCACCACAACCAAUGCCACCAAGACCACCACCAAUGCCAUCAAUACCAACACCAAGACCACCGACACCACCGCCAAAAAACAUAAAUACCAACACCACCAACAACAGCCACCAACAACACCACAAACACCAUCCAACAAUACCACGAUAGUCAACAAAAAACUGAGAGAAAAACUAGGAUUUUCUCGAGUGCUUCCUACUUUUUUAGCAUCAAAACUCAAAAUUGUUAACCUAUUCUCGAAGAUAAUAUAAUUAAAAGUCUUUUUUUCAUCAUUAACUAAAAAGCCCUAUUUUUUAGAAUAAAGAAAAAAUGUAGAACUCUUCUCAAACUUUGUUACCUAUGAAGACAGAAAAAAUAACAAAUACAAGUGGGAAUGAAGUAAAAAAAAAACUAUAUAUGGUCGUAAAUGGGAAGAAAAUUGACCUGUUUUAAAGGGUUGAGCAAUAUGUUGAGUUGUUGUUGUUUGUAUUGUUGAGAGAGAGAGGAGAGCCCAAGAGAGAGAGGGAGAGAGAGAGAAGAGUGAGAACUUCAGAUUUGAAAUGAAAAGUUUAUCAUGCAAAUGGAUGAUUUGUAUAGGUUGAUUUAUAAUUUUGGAAAAGAAUGACAAGUUUUAAAAUUGCUAAUUUUGUCCUAAUUGAUCUUAAUUAAUUUUUUAAAAAAUUAAAAUAUAUAGUUUUUAGAACAUUUAGUUGAUGAGAACUCAUUUUAAGUCAGAGUGAUCGAUCGACGACUCGGGUCGGGAUGAACGCAAUACCAACGUCAUGUAAUUGCAAAGAAUCGAUUGGAUUUGUAGUUGGCCCUGUGAGCUCAUUCAUUCAUCCCUAGUUCCACCUAAAUCAACUUAGGUACUAUCAGUAUCCUAACAUUGAGUUGAUGAGAACUCAUUUCUACUCGGAGUGAUCGAUCAAUGACUCAGGUCGGGAUGAACGUAAUACAAAUGCCAUGCAAUUACAAAGACUCAAUUGGAUUUGUAGUUGACCCUAUAAGCUUAUUCAUUCAUUCCUAGUUCCACCUAAAUCAAAUUAGGUACUAUCACUAUCCUAACAUUGAGUUGAUGAGAACUUAUUUUAACUCAGAGUGAUCGAUCGACGACUCAGGUCGAAAUGAAUGAAAUACCAAUGCCAUGCAAUUGCAAAGACUUGAUUAGAUUUGUAGUUGACCAUGUGAACUCAUUCAUUCAUCCCUAGUUCCACCUAAAUCAACUUAGGUACUAUCACUAUCCUAACAUUGAGUUGAUGAGAACUCAUUUCAACUCAGAGUAAUUGAUCGAUGACUCGAGUUGGGAUAAAUGCAAUUCCAAUGCCAUCUAAUUGUAAAGACUCAAUUGGAUUUGUAGUUGACCCUGUGAGCUUAUUCAUUCAUUCCUAGUUCCACCUAAAUUAACUUAGGUACUAUCACUAUCCUAACAUUGAGUUGAUGAGAACUCAUUUCAACUCAGAUUGAUCGAUCGAUGACUCGGGUCGGAAUGAACGCAAUACCAACGUUAUGCAAUUGUAAAGACUCAAUUGGAUUUGUAGUUGAACCUUUGAGCUCAUUCAUUCAUCCCUAGUUCCACCUAAAUCAAUUGCAAUGAAAUCUGUUGCAACAAAUGACUGAGCUGUUGAAAAUUUUCAAACAAAUAUUCAUAUAUGUUGCAACAGAUGACAUAUCUGAUUUAAUUAUCGAAUAGAUAUUUGCAUCUGUUAUGACAGAUGACUGAGCUAUUAGAAAUUUUCAAAUAGAUAUUUAUAUCUAUUGUAACAGAUGGCAUAUCUAAUUUAAUUAAUUAUCAAAUAGAUAUUUUCAUCUGUUGUCAUAGAUGACUGAGAUGUUCAGAUUUCUAAAUAAAUAUUUAUAUAUGUUGCAACAAAUGAUAUAUCAGUUUGAAAAUCUUUUUUUCUCUUUUAAUUUUAAAGAAAGCUUCUGUCCGAGUAGAUAAUAUCAUGCAGUACUUACUACUAAAGGCGGUAAAAAAUAUUUCUUGGAUAUCUCAAAAGUGAGUUCAUUGAGUAGUCUUGUCUUAUCUUUUCAAUGUCACUAGUCUUAGUCUUCCUCGUGCCCCUCAAAUUAUUAAUGAAAUUAAUGAACAUUAAAAAUUCUCACGCCUACAUACACAAUACAUCUAUAAAAAUUAUCUCAUCUCUUUCUUCAACUGCAAUUUAUUUUAUUCAACUCUCAUUUUUUUUUUCUCUCCUCUUUAGGGUCACAACCUUUUUUCUCUCUUUUCUCUUCUCUUCUCAUAAAGAUCCUUUCGGUUCUAAACAAAUCCAUAUCUUUCUUCGACUGAUAUUUCUAUUUUGAUCCCCUUUUUGACAUUAAGGUAUGGUUCAUUAUUGCUCUUUCAUUCUCGUCUUCUUUUUUGCAAGUUAUUUACAUUGUUUUUUAUUUAAUUACUAUUUACCCAUAUCAUAUUUAUUAAAAAAAAUUGAAGGAACUUUUAAGUGUUGAAUAAACAAACGAGAAUUUUUAUUACAAUAUGCAAAAAAAGUCAUCUGUUGGGAGAAGUUUAAAAGCCUUGUUGGUAGUAUUUUUUUGUAUGAAUUUUGUUUGUUACUUUAUUGUUGAUGCAGUUAUUGAUGUUGUUAGUGGGGUUGGCGUUGUUGGAACUUGUGGUAUGGUGUUGUUGAUGGUUCUGGAACAAAGGAUGUUGCUUCUUUGUUGUUGAUGAUGUUGUUAGAACAAAUAUUUUUGUUUCUUUGUUGUUGAUAUUUUUUAUUUGUAGGUUAUGUUAUUGUUGAUAUUGCAACAGAUGAAGAAACUGUUGGAACAAAUCAAACCACCAGAAAGGUUGGUUUGAUGUAUUCCAUCAUACUUCACAUCUGUUGCAAUGGACUCUACAUCUGUUGUAACAGACUCCACAUCUGAUGCAACAGACUCUAUAUCUAUUGCAACAGAUGGAUAAUGUUCUUUCUGUGAAAUUACUUUUUUUUCUCUUCUUUGUAGAAAUAAGGAACUGACAGAUGAUUAACUUUUAUCGGACCAUCACAAACGGCUACAGUAAAGAUGGGUUCAAAGAAAUAAGUUGCAUGCAGAUGGAACCACUUCAUAUGUGGGAGGUAUGUAUUACUGAUAAUGUUAUCAUGGAAACACAUUUAGAGUGCACUGAUGUUGUGAAUAUUAUUUUUACUGAUUAGUCAUAGAUCAUUCAAACAAGAUGUCUGUAAUUUUACAGUUAAGUUUGGUAGGUCCGAACUGAUAAGGCAGAGGGACCAUGAAUAUGGUUCUGAUACCUUGUUAAGAUUUAAUGUCGGUUGUUGCUCAUAUUCAUUUAUCAAGCAUUAUGAAGGGAUCUAGUUUUGGUGUCAUUGUCAAGAGAUUAAAUAGUGAUUGGACUAACUUUUAGGGUGCAUUGGACCCUUAGAGGGCCUACGAAGCUUAGAACUGCAUCUAAUAAGAACGAAAAACCAAUAUAGCUAUUACCCUAGCCCAAAUUUAAAUAGUUGGGUUGCUCGCUCGAAGAGAUAAUUAUAUACCAGAAGGUACGGUAGGAGAAUGGCUUCGAGGGAAAAUAGGUGGUUGAUGGAAGACUAUAUCAUUUGAGAGCUAAUUGAAGAAGAGACAUAGGGUAGAAAGUAACUUGUAGCAAAUCUGGCCGAUGAAAUUAUCUUAAAAGAUGCGAAAUCUGAAUCAAGUGAAAAAAUGAAAGUGUAUCUGGUAAUGUAAUUUCGUCUGUUGUCUCUCUGAAAGAAAAAUAAUGCAGAUGGACACUUUGCUAGGGAGCUGCAUGGUUGGGAUUAUCACCUAGAUAGAAAAUAGAAAAAGACCAACAAAGCAGCCUCACGAGCAUCGAGGGUUGAAAUAAUAUACAAGAAGUCUAGAAACUUACGCCAACAAUAACUGUAGUUAAAAUAAGGAAUCUAAGCGAAGGCAGUAAUUUCUGAAUUUUAAAUUUCAUCCCAUGCCUUCUUGUUUGUGUUUUCGAUUAGGUCCACUGUCGUUGACCUGAUCGAAACUACAAACGAGAUUGAAAGAAAAAUUGAGUAUCAUUUCUUCCUUAGCAAUAUGGUAAUAAUUGAUUGUGUUUUCUUACCUUAGCAUGAUUUGAACAUUACUUGGAGAAGAUCAGAUGCUUGCUGUAGUAUGUGAAUCCUGAUAAUUUUCAAGCUUGCCUCCAGCUUGCUGAUUCUAUAUUCAAGCUAUUCGUUGCCGUCUUCGAAGUUGGUCAAGAGUUCCUUAUCUCUCGUGAGCUCGAUCAGGGACACCACCUUCAAAGUUUUGGCAUUUUAGGUGCCCUUCAGAACAAUUUCUUCAGAAGCCUUAAAGGAUACAUGGAGGGUCGUUGUGUUUGUUUUAGGUCAAAAUGUGUUGAUGCAUGUUGAAUUUAUGAUCCCAACAGUUGAACAACACACUUUUAUCGAGCGUUGCUCAAUGCAUCUUGCUCAACCAAUAUGAUAAAUUAGUAAGCAUUGAGUUAUGUAGCGUGUGAUCUAAAUCGGCUCUACCAAGCCUAUCAAACAAUACAUAACUCCAAGCUCAUUACCCUAUCAAAAAAAUAUGAACGAGUUAGUGAACAAAUUAAACGAGCUUAAUCUCUCAGCCUUUCUAUUGAUCGCUCUUCUCCAAUAUAGAUGACAAGAUAUCUACUGUGCAAAAUUCUACACCAUCGCCGGACACGCUUUUCUGGGAGCAAUUCUUCAAAAGAUAUCUGUUGAUGCCUUCUGAAGAAUUUCUCCCAGGCAAGCAUGUCUUGCGACGGUGUAGACUUUUACAUAGUAGAUAUCUUGUCAUCUAUAUUAGAGAAGAGUGAUUAGCAGAAAGGCUGAUAGAUUGAGCUUGUUUGAUUUGUGCACUAACUCGGUCAUAUUUUUUUGAUAGGAUAAUGAGCUCGGAGUUACGUAAUGUUAAAUAGGCUUGGUAGAGUCGAUUUAGAUCAUACGCUACGUAACUCUUUGCUUAUUAAUUUAUCAAAUUGGUUGAGCAAGAUGCAUGGAGCAACGCUCUAUAAAAGUGUAUUGUUCAACUGUUGGGACUACAUCUUCAACGUGCAUCAACACAUUUUGACCUAAGACAAACACGACGACCCUCCAUAUAUCUUUUAAGGCUUCUGAAGAAAGUGUUCUAAAGGGCUUCUAGAAUGCCACAACUUUGAAGGUAGUGUUUCUGAUCUAGCUCACAAGAGAUGAGGAAAUCCUUACCAACUUCAAAGACGGCAACGACUAGCUUGAAUACAGAAUCAGCAAGCUGGAGGCAAGCUUGAAAAUUAUCGAGAUUCACAUACUAUAGAAAGCAUCUGAUCUUCUCCAAGGAAUGUUGAAAGCAUGCUAAUUCAAAAAAACAAAAUCAAUUAAUCCAUAUUGCUAAGGAAGUAAUGAUACUCUAUUUGCCUUUCAAUCUCGUUUGUGGUUCCGAUCAGGUCAACGACAGUGGACCUGAUCGGAAACACAAACAAGAAGGCAUGGGAUGAAAUUUAAAAUUCAAAAAUUGUCCUCUUCGCUUAGAUUUCUUAUUUUAACUGCAGUUGUUGUUGGCGUAAGUUUUAUAGACUUGUUGUACAUCAUUUCAACGCUUGAUGCCCGUGAGGCUGCUUUGUUGGUCUUCUUCUAUUUUCUAUCUAGGUGAUAAUCCAAACCACGCAGCUCUCUAGCUAAGUGUCCAUCUGCAUUAUUUUUUUCAGAGAGACAACAGAUGAAAUUACAUUAUUUGAUACACUUUUAUAUUUGCAAUUGAUUCAGAUUUUGCAUCUUUUAAGAUAAUUUCAUCGGCCAAAUUUGUUAGAAGUUACUUUCUACCCUAUAUCUCUUCUUCAAUUAGCUCUUAGAUGAUAUAGUCUUCCAUCAACCACCCAUUUUCCCUCGAAGACAUUCUCCUACCGCACCUUCUGGUAUAUAAUCAUCACCCCGAGCGAGCAACCCAACCAUAUAAAUUUGGGCCAGGGAAAUUUCUAUUAGUUUUCCAUUUUUGUUUGAUGCAGUACGAGGUUUCGAAGGUGUUCUCAGAGUCCAAUGCACUCUUAAAGUUAAGUCCAAUCGCUAUUGGUUCUCUGCAGUGACGAUAAAUAUUGAUCCCUUCUCAAAACUUGAUAUGCAUAAACACGAGCAACAACAGUCAGUAAUUCGUAAUAGGGUAUCUGCACCAUCUUCAUGAGGUCCUCAGCCUUAUAAAUUUCAAACCUAUCAAACUUAACGGUACAAUGCAGGAUCUUGUUUGAAUGAUCAAUGCCUAAUCGGUUAAAAACUGCAUUCACAAAAAUAUUAUACUUUAUGUGUGUUGUCCCGAUGACCUUAUCAGUAAUACAUACUUAACUCCCUCACAUAUGAUAGUGGAUACAUCUACAUGCACCUUAUUCUUCCUAGUCAUCUAUGGAUUAAAUUGAAUAAACAGAGGACUAGCUAGUUCCAACAGAUAACACAUCUGUUUAUAUUGUCAAACAAUUGGAGACAUCUAUUAUGACAAAUGAUCAACUUGUUGUAACAUAUAACGUAUCUGUUAGAGAAAUCAAACAGAUAUAUAUAUCUGUUGCAAAAUAUUUCCAGUAUGUUGUAAGUUAUCUAACAGAAAGAAUAUAUUUUGCAACAAAUUACCCAUCUGUUAGAUUUAUUUUAAAGCAAUUUUCUUUUUGUUCCGAGAUAUAAUAAUUUAUAAAUAGGUCCCUCCUUACAAAUAUGGAUGAUCUAGAUUCGUACAAGAAUAUUCAUAUCGAGUCCUUGCGUGAACUUCAAAGGCAGUUUGAUAAACUCUAGAGAGAUUUGGCUGACUUCGGAGCAAGGUUGUCAGAAGAAAAAUAUCUGAUUGACAAUAAUAAUAAUAGUAGUAAUAAUAAUUAGGUAAUGCUUUUUAUUUUAGUGCAUGUAUUUUCCUCCUUUUGUAUAUUGGAUCUACCCACGGGAUUCAAAAUUCUAUGUUUCAUUUCAUUUGGUGGUCGACUUUGAAUUUUUAAUUCUUAUUUAGUAUUUAAUAAUCAUUCUGUUUAUUUCUUGUUCUCAACAUGUCGACGGUUGGUGGUAGGGAUUGAGCAAUUUGUGUCAAUAGAGGCUAACCUGCUGUGACAGAUCAAUCAUAUGUUGCACCAGGCGGUUAUUAAUAAAAAAGGGUUAUUGUUGUUAUUGAGAGGGUGAAAAAGACAUGACUUCCCGAUUAUUCAAUAUGAAAAAUAUUUUGUAAAUAAAUAAUAAGAAAAUAAAUGAUAAAAAUAAUUUAUAACCAUAAAAGAACGAUUAUUUAAUUUUAAUAACGGAUCGUGACUUUGACCAUUUUUAUUUUUGAAUUUAUUUUUUUAAAUUAUUUAUUAUAUAAGAAAAAAAAUCACAAUAUUGGAUUAAUUAACUUAUAUGAUGAUGAUUGUUAAGAAAAAUAAGGUGAUCAAUCAUGACUUUUUGUCUAAAACAAAAACACAUACAUUCAUCAGUGUUGUUCAUGCAUCAAAUUUCUCAUCUGUUGCGACUGAUGUAUCAGCUGUUAGAAGAAAUCAAAAAAGAUAUUAAUAUAGAAUGUCUAUUUGUUUCUACAGAUGGUAUAUCUGUUGCAACUGAUGGUUUAUCAGAUUCAACAGUUAUACAAUAUGUUGUCAGAAAAUAAAAAUGGUUAUUAUUUUAUUAAAGAAUUUAGAAAGGUGUUUUUUUUUAAUUUAUAAAAUAAAAAAGUUAUCAAAUUUGGAUUAAUGAUAUGAUGAUAGUUUUUUAAAAAAAAAAAGUAUAUUAUAUGUUGCAACAAAUAUAUAUUAUCUGAUGCAACAAGUUCACUAUUGUUGCAACAGAUGAUAUAUCUGUUGUCACAGAUGAUUUAUCUGAGGCAACCGAUAUCGAAUCUGUUGUCACAACUCAAUAAAAAUGCUUCUUGAAAAGAACUAAUUAAUAAUAAUAAUCUGAAAAGUCACGACUUAUCACAAUAUUUCUUAAUUUAAUUAAGUCAUUACUUUUCACAUUAAUCAAAGAUAUAAUUAAUAAAUGGAGGUGAAUAGUUAAAUUAUAUGUCGCAACAGAUAGGUUAUUUGAUGCAACAUACUUUAUAUUUAUUGUAACAGAUGAUAUAUCUGCUGUCACAGAUGUGUUAUCUGAUGCAACAGAUAUAGAAUCUGUUGCCACAACUCAAUAAAAAUGGUUCUUCGAAAGAAUUAAUUAAUAAUAAUAAUCUGAAAAGUCAUGACUUAUCACAAUAUUUAUUUUCUUAAUUUAAUAAAAAAUGUAAUUAAUGAAUGGAGGUGAAUAGUCGCGCCUUUUUUCCUCUUAUUCAAAUUCAAUCCUCUAUAAAUAGGUCCCUCCUUACUCAAUCAUUCAUUCAACUACACUCUAUUUAUUUAUUUCAUCUCGUCUUUUAUAUUACACUCUAGAAGAUUAUGGCUGACCCAGUGUGGGACGUUGCUUUUCUGCAAGACGCCAUGAAUGAACUUUGAAAUCAAGUUCGUGACCUGCAAUGGAAACUGGGAGGAGUUAAAGAAAGAAUGCUCCGCGAGAUACGUAGGCUGAGGAGGGCCUUGCUACUUCCGGUUGAAGAUUGGCCGGCAUGCAAUGAUGAUGAUGAUGAUGAUGAUGAUGAUGAUGAUGAUGAUGAUGAUGAUGAUGAUGAUGAUGAUGAUGAUGAUGAUGAUGAUGAUGAUGAUGAUGAUGAUGAUGAUGAUGAUGAUGAUGAUGAUGAUGAUGAUGACGAUUCAACGUAAAAAGGAAUAAUUUAGAAUCCAGUAGCAAUAGCAAGAUUUAUCUGUUGGGUUUGUGGCAGGGGCUGAUGUGUUGUUCAAAACAGAUUACUCAUGUUGCAACGGAUAAAAAUUCUGAUGCAACAGAGAAAUAAUUUGUUUCAACAGAUGACUAGUUUGUUUCUUGUCUUUGACGUUUUAAUUCGUACUCCCUCCAUCUUAAAUUACCUGUCCCAAAUUGAGAUGCCACAUUGAUUAAAAAAAGUAAUUAAUAACAUGUCUAGUUUAUCAUAACCCACUGAUCAGUUGGUGGGAUAGUAGAUGUGUUUGAAAUAACCAUUGUUUGUUAUUCAAUCGAAAUUUCAUAAGAGAAGAAAGCUUUUAACGUCGAUUGGCGUAUAGUCCCCCUAUUAAAUGAUGUUUCCAUUUUAAUUUGAAGAAAAAGUGAUUGAUGCAAAGGGUAAAACAUGGAAUUUUUUUUUUAAUCUUUUCUUGAUUAAUGAAAAAGACAAGUAAAAUGAAAAAUCGAAUUAGGAAAUUUGGGACGGGUAAUUGGACGUAAGGAAUAAUUUUGAAUCCAGCAGCAAUAGCAAGAGUUGAAACAUAUUGGUUAUCUGUUGGGUUUGUGGCAGAGGCUGAUUGUGUUAUUCCAAACAAAUUAAUCAUUCGUUGCAACAGAUAAUUAGUCUGGUGCAACAGAUAAACAUCCCGAUGCAACAGAUAAUACGUUUGAUGCAAUAGAUAAUACGUCCGAUGCAACAGAUAAACAGUCUGAUGCAACAGAUAAAUCUUCUAAUGCAACAAAUUACUCAUCUGAUGCACCAGAUGAUUGAUUUGUUUAAAUUGUAGGCACUUAUGCUGGGUUCAUGAUCGGGGUUCUAUCCAUUGUUAGAAAAACAGAAGAGUACCCAGAUGACAAAUACGGAUAAAAAUUAUAAUAUUACUUACCAACGUCACCUAUGAAGUAAUGCCAAAGUGGAAAGUGAUGUAGUAAACUAAAUUUGACCUAAGAAAUUGGUCAGAUAGCAGCAGUAGCGAUGUACCAACAACAACAAAUGAUCGACAAAAAGAAGAUGAAGAUGAUAAUGAAGUAGAAGAUGAUGAAUAAAGCAUUAGAAACAAUGAACAACAAAAAUCGCUAAGAAAGAGAAAACAACAAUGGAUGAGAAGAGAGAGAAAGACGUCUUUUUUUCCUCCAUUUCCCAUUAUUUUAGAUAAACAUUGGGAUCAAAAUGUAAAUUUAAAAACUUGUGGGUUAUUUUUAAACUUUCUCAACUUUCUUAAUCCAUAAUAAAGUAAUUGUUACUUCCAACUAAUAAUUAAGACUUGUGUCACCUACACCUUAUUUUAAAACUCUUUUGUCAUCUGGGGCCAAAACCCUAGUUACUUGGUUGCAUAAUUGUUUUCAAAUGUCAACAUGGAAAAUACAAGUGUUUAAUUACCACGCUGUGUAUGAUGCUACUACUAUUUUUAGUUUGAGGCCGUGCAGCUUCUAGAGUUAUACUAUUUUAGUUUGAGGUCCUGCAGCUUCUAGAGUGUUAUAUAAUUAAUACUUAUCCAAUUUGAUAUUUUGUACGGAGGAAAUAUUUUUGAGAAAAUAAGUAUUUUUUGAAUUUAUCUUUUAAAAUUUUAAAAGAUAUUAUUUUUAAAAUAUUUAUAUAAAUAUGAAAGGUGAGAAGGAGGAAGAGACAAUCCAUGUAUAAUGAAAAAAAGGGGGGGAAGACACAAUCCAUGUAUAAUACCAUUUGCCAAAUCUUUUAUCCUAAUUUUACCGAGAAAGUCAUUUUUCUCAUUCUAUACAACGUACAUAAUUUUUUUUUUAAUAUGAUAAAAUAAUAUUUCAAGUAUUACAAUUAUCCUUUAUUUUCUUACCUCUUCCUAGGAUGUUGAGAAUAGGUUUGGAUCGAUAUUGACAAAGCAUUCUACUAUUGAAUUAAGUGGCUAUGUUUGAAAUCCGAGUUGAUAAAUAGAAACUUACGGAUAAAAAUGGGCUUAUGCAUAUUAUUGAGGAAAAACAUGUCUAGCUCUCACAUUACCGUUCUUAGAGUCUAAGCUUCUCAUCUCCCUUUUGAUUAUUAUCUUUGGUAGUUCUCUUUAUUUUACUAGUCCAUUAUUGUUCUGUAAUUUCUUUGUUAGCUUCAUUUUGUGAUUGAAAAUUUGGGUUUACUGAUUAUAAUAACUGAGUGUUCUAUUGUGAAAUUGCAGUUAUUAAGUAGGAGCUAUAUCGUUUUGCUUCCCCAAUCACUUAAACUAACAAUUUUAAAAUUAAAAGUGAAAUGUGCUUUAUCAUCCAAGUAAUUCUCUUUUAUCUUAUUAGAAUUUUACCAAAUUUAAUAUACAAACAUAUUUAAUGAACUUUUUUAUAUAUAAAUAUACUUUAGCCAAAAGCUACUGAAUUUAAAUGAACCCAUAUCUGGACUUCUACUACCGCCCCUGAAGUCCCCACCUAUCCUUCAAAGGCAAUAUAUACACAUACAUAACUCAUUAUAUUCCUUAGGGAAAACAAAGUAAUGGAGGUUUCUUAUUACUACUACCUAUUAGUUUCACUUUUUAUUGCAAUAACUUUAGUUAUAUAUGCAUGGAAGUUGUUGAAUUGGGCAUGGUUUAAGCCAAGGAAAUUAGACAAGUGCCUCAGACAACAAGGUCUUAAAGGAAACUCUUACAAAUUAAUAUUUGGAGACCUCAAAGAGUUGUCCAAAAGCGUUGAAAAUGCUAAGUCCAAACCAUUGAAUGUCUCUGAUGAUGACAUAUCUCCUAAAGUUCUCCCUUAUUUUAUUGAAACAAUCAAGAAAUAUGGUAAGAUUUCCUUAUUUUUUUUUGGUCUCCCAUAUGGUUUUGUGUUCCUUUUUUGCUAUCAAUUAAUUCAAAUUUGGAUCGAGAAGUGUUUGGGAUAAAGGGCAAAGAUGACUUCAUUUUUAGUUUUGAAUUCAAGACUUCAAUUAAGAAUGGACUGGUAGCUGGUCUUUCGCUAAAUAGCUCAUAUCUAACAAGAUUUUUUGAUAAUUCAUCAUAGAAUAAAGCGUGCGAUUAUUUUUAUUUUUUACUUUCUUUGUCUUAGUUUAUAUGAUACUUUUUGUUCGUAUUCAGUUUGACUAAUCUUUAUAGCUAAACUAGAUUAGAUUUUAAAAUUAAAAUUUGAAUUAGAUUUUAAAAUUAAAAUUUGAUAUUUAAGAACUAUUGGAAAAAUACUGUUGAUUUUCUUAAAGCUAUUUUUUUUAAAAGGAGCUCUCGUUGUUUCCCUCAUUAACUCGAACUCACAACCUCAGGGCUGGAAGUUGAGGUUGCGAUUAUUUUCAUAUCAAUCUACAAAAAAUAUAUUUAAAAAUAUUAGUCAAAUUUUACAUAAUUUGAACUUUUAGAAGCGAAAAAUGCCACAUAAAAGAAACAUGGGGAACAUAUUUAGCGGCAAAAAUUAUCUGUCAUUGCUUCAUGUUUUCGUGUAGUGUGCAUACUUACCAAUCCGCCACAAUUCAUUAGUGGUGGAGCCAGAAAUUUCAUCAAGUGUAUCAGAUUUAAUCUAUACGUAUGAAAAAUAAUAUUCGACCUAUAAUAUACUUCAUAUAAGUUUCUAUAUACAUUGUAUAACUUUUCGACUAAAGAUGUUCGACUACCAGGGGCGGACCCACGUGGUAUCCAGGGGGUUCACCCGAACCCCCUCGGCAAAAAAUUAUGUUAUAUAUAUAACGUAGAAAAUCUAUAUUUAUGUAUAUAUAUUAAUUUUGAACCAUUUAAAAACAUGGUUGUUGGAUAGCCCAAUGGUUCUAUGUAUCUGUUCACACAUUUAUAUUUUUUUGAACCCAAAAUAAAUUCUUGGAUCCGCCACUGUCGACUACCACCCUUUCCUUUCUCGUGGUGUGAGUUAAGAAUUCAUGAAAUUUAUCCAAUAUUUUACAGGUAAAAACUGUUUUAUAUGGGCUGGACCAAAGCCUAUGGUAUGUGUAAGGGAGCCUGAGGCAAUAAAGGAAGUGUUAACAAAAUAUAGCGUCUAUCAAAAGGUAGAAUUAACUCCCCCAACCAAGUUACUGGCACAUGGAAUUAUAAGCUACAAUGAGGAUAAAUGGGCAAAGCACAGAAAAAUCCUCAAUCCUGCUUUCCAUAUGGAGAAGUUAAAGGUAUUCUUCGUACAUACUCCCCCACCCCCGAAAAUAAAAAAGAAAAUAAUGAAGAUAUUAUUUGAGUAAUUAUAAUGUCUCACAGUUAAUAGUAAGGUUUUAGAUGAAAUAAUGACACGGUUUAGAUGAAGUUGGGUGAAGUACCAUAAUGUCUCAGUUCAGUUCUCAAUACAGACAAAUAUUAGGUGAUUUCUUUCCAUGUGUUCUAGCUUUGGUGGACAGUGUUACCUGGUACCUGUUGCUGGUGGGAGGUGACAGGUAUCCUGUAGAAUUAAUUGAGCUGAACGCAAGCUGCCAUAGAUACCACGAUUACUAAAAAAAGAAAAAAAUGAUAGAAUAGGGAGGACUUGGAUUCACAUUUUGUCUCUGUUCAAAAGCAAUAAGAUAUUCUCAUGCAAGGGUGGAGCUAGAGUGUUUUCAAGUUCCCUUUCGUUGAAAAUUACACUAUGUUCUUUUAUGGGUCAAAAUUUGAAAAUCACACUUUAUAUAUAAUGUCAAACUUAUUUUUAAGUAUAUGUGUUGACUGUUGAGUCCCUCGACUUCUUGGUAUGUUCAAUUUUUUAAUAUUUUGAUUCUUCUUAGUGAAAAUUUUGCUCUGCCACUAGAAAUACCCAGGUGUUUGGCGAACGAGGAAAAAAAUCCAGUCUUGCACAGGAUGUGAUGAAAAUAUAACUGAAGUAUUAACAAUUUAAGGUUUAAAUAGCAACUUAUUUCCACUUUUUUUAUUAUCAGAAAUUCAAGUUAUCUGUUGAAGUGGGUCAAAGUCCUACAUUGGUUGGCGAAUAGAUUGACAAUUUGCUUAUAUGGACUUGGGUAAUUCUCCCCCUUAUGAGCUAGCUUUUGAGAUUGUGUUAGACCCAGGUGCCCUAUCUUUACAUGCUAUCAGAGCCCAGUCCAUCCCAGUUUGGCUUCUGAUCCACGUGUCAGUUGGGCCUUGGACGUGAAGGGGGUGUUGAAGUGGGUGGAAGUCCCACAUUGGUUGGGGAAUGGACUAACAAUUUGCUUAUAUGGACCUAGUCAAUCAUUCUCUCAUGAGCUAACAUUUGAAAUUGAGUUAGGCCCAACUGUCAUCUUUUCAUUUUUCUAUUUUUCUUCCUCUCUAGCUCACGAAUAUAACAUACAAGAUGCAGUUGGCUUGCACUAAUUAUGAGUGGUUUAUAAAUGUGUAGAAUAUGCUUCCUGUAUUUCAUUUGAGCUGCAGUGAGAUGGUGAGCCAAUGGAAGGAGGCUGUCACAGCGAAAGGAUCGUGUGAACUCGAUAUAUGGCCUUACCUUGAGAGAUUGACUAGCAAUGUAAUUUCUCGCACAGCCUUUGGAAGCAACUAUGAAGAAGGUCGAAAGAUAUUUGAGCUUCAAAAAGAACAAGCUGAGCAUGUCACUGAAGUUUCUCGCACCUUAUAUAUUCCAGGAUGGAGGUAAUAAAAUGUCGUUUCCUGAGUUUAAAUUAUGUACUAUGAAUUUGUCGCUUAUCUAUUGCUAAAUGGUUCCUAGCUAAUGUUUUCUUUUUAUAGCUAAUCCAUCGUUAAACAGGAUUAGCGACAAAAAUUUACUGUUUAGUGACAUAAGUUGUCUGUUGCUAAAUUUCUGUUUUUUUUUUUUUUGUAGUGCCUGCAAUACCAAGUUAACAUAAAUUGAUGGAGUAAAAAUUAGUUAUGUAGUUGAACCGUUUGUUCUAUUCGUUCAAGUUUUGCUUCUCUAGAGAAAAUGAGAUGCUAAAAAUGGAAAUUGUUCGCAACACAUAUUGAAAGGGGUACUAAUCAAGUAUGAAUAUAACUUAAACCCUUGUUUACCAUGUCUAUGUCCAAAUAGUAUCAGGAAAAGAAAUUGAAAAGCGGAGCCACCUUAUGCCAAGUUCAAAUAGUCGAAUGACACCCUUUCGCCAGAAACUUACAAUGUUUAGCUAAAUCAUAAGAUCAAAAGUUUAUUAUUAUGUAUAUAUAGACUAUAUGUUGACUCUUCUUAUUUCUACAUGUCUUUUUUUUUUAUAAUAUGACACUCUUUAGUUCUGAUUCCGCCACUGUAUACAUGUUUUUGAUCGUUAACUGAGUGUAGGUUUCUGCCCACUAAGAGAAACAGAAGGAUGAAAGAGAUUGAGAAAGAAGUUCAAGCAAUGAUAAGGGGAAUCAUCGAUAAAAGAGUGAAGGCAAUGAAAGCAGGGGAGGCCAAUGCCGACGACUUAUUAGGCAUAUUGUUGGAAUCCAACUUUAAAGAAAUUGAACAACAUGGUAACAACGAUUUUGGCAUGACUAAGCGAGAUGUCAUCGAGGAGUGUAAAGUGUUCUAUAUUGCUGGGCAAGAGACCACCUCUGUAUUGCUUGUAUGGACUAUAAUUUUGUUGAGCAGGCAUCCAGACUGGCA
rnacentral:lncRNA from 1 species